rnacentral:lncRNA from 1 species
ACAGCAGCCCUACACCAAUUCAGCUGCCCCAUCCCAAAUGUCGACUGACCCAACCUAUUCCCAAACAGCCAAAUUCCUUUUUCCCUUUCCUCUUCAUCACAACGUAAAACAACAACUACUUCAGCACACAACAACAAAUGACCCAACAACUAUAUGAUCAGCAACACAGUCAAACAACACCAACGGCAACCUUUAGACCGACGAGCAUUACGAAAUCCAUUGGUUCAUCUCCACCUCUCCUCUACUUUCGUCUCUAUCAACAUCACCUGUUUUCCACCCAUCACUUCUUGUUGAAGUAGAUCAAAUCCCAAGGCUCUGCAUUUCCUGGAAAAGAUGGGAAAGUUCAUGGACCUUCACGUUUUGAGGUUAUUUAGCCCUUCAAACCAAUAGAUGUAAGCCUUUCUACCUUCAAACUAUCACUCGUCUUUCAAAUCAAUCGAAAAGGUGACUCCUUUCUCUUCUUUAUCUUUUUUCACCAUUGAAUUCAACCUGCAAUUUGUCUUCUAAAGGACGUUAAAAAUACAAUUACUUUUUGAAUUUUUUCAAGGCUUCUUUGAGAAGCUGGGCAGCCCAUAUUUUUCCUAUAAAAGAGGCUUGUUCACUCCUUUAGGGGAUAAGAACAGAGAUGGAGAAUUUAGGGGAAUAUUUUAAGUGCUAUUAUUUUUCUUUGCUUUAUUUUAUUUAGCUUCCGACUACACUUUCCUUACUCGUGUCGCUUUUCAUUGCUCACAUUAGAAGUGGUGUGAAAAUCGUUCAUCAACUCGUUGUUUCGAUACCCUGCACCAUAAAAAGUGACCUCCUGCGCUCUCCUCUCUGUUCAAUAUCUUCGUUUUUCAUUUUAUUGAUAUUUGUGGUAAUGUGAUUUUUUUUAAUGUUUUACGAAUAUUCUUGGAUUUCAUAUUUUAAGUAUCUAAUGUUGGAUUAGAUUAUUAACGAAUACAGUGCACGGAGGACAAGUUAAUGAGCGUUAUGGGAUAAAUGGAGGACGUCUCAUGGCAUUUGUCAUUUAUGAUUUCCCAAAUCUCCCUCCGAUACUUUCUUUUAUAUUGUUUUUAUUGGAAAGUUUUCUUUUAUGUCAGAGUAGCCUUGAACCUUUGGCUUUAAUUUGGAAUUUUUGAGUUGUUUAGUCAUAGAUUUUCAUGCUCUUGUCCUUUGGCUAAAAAAUGAUCCUAAAUGGUAUCUGGAUAGCAUUCUUUAUUAAUCAUAAGUUUAAGCUUCAUUGUUCAUGUCUUCUGGAAGCAUGGUUUGAAGCCUCUAGGGUAAAUUUUCAUUAAAUUUGUUUUCCCCUCCCUUAUUUUGUUUUCUGAUUUCUUUUUGGCAUAUGUAAUCCCCAAGUAAUUAGUUAACCUUUCUUUCCUCAUCAUUAUGAGUAAAGCGUGUUGGCUUGUCUAUCUACCUUUUUCUCUUUUCUUCAAAUUAUUCUCCGUUAAAUGUUUAGGAUGAUGCUUCUUUUCGAGUACAAAUAGUUCUUUGAAGUAGUAGAAGGAACUCUUUUUUUUCACUACCCAAAAGAUAUUUUAAAAAGAAAUUUUUAGUCUUGUCUUUUUAUUAUAUCGCAUUUAACCAAGCUUGUUUAACUAGUUUAGGAGCCAAGAAUGUUGUAGAAUUUUUUCCUCCUUGUCCAUGUAUGAAAUAAUUCUCAUUAGUUUUAUGACUUAGCUGUAGAUUGGGUACUCUUUGUCACAUACAUUAAGGGUCACUUUAAUUGUUUACUUUAUUUUGUUGAUCAAACUUUAUGUACCAGUUAAUUAUUAUAGAUACUAAUCCAUUCUCCUUGUUUCUUCUAUGCAUGAACUCUCCCUCAUCGACUCCCUCGGACUCUCAUUUCCCGUAUUUCGUGGGUUGAACCCAACCUCCAUUGACUCAAGCCCCAUUAAAAUCCAAAUAUGCAGGAAAAAACUGGUAUAAAAUUAUAUACAACUAAUAUGCAGUUGGAUGCAGUAGUUGUACACGUAUUAUAUGGUUUAUAAUAAUAAGGGAGUCAAAAUAAGUAGGUUUUAUGCUGAUAUACAUUGUAUACACAGCUAUAUACAGAAAAUGGAAGAAAAGGGUCUUACUGAUAUACUACUAUUAUACAUGCUGAAAAUGGGCCAGUCUAAAUCUGGACAGCUUGCAGCAGUGGGCCAAGAAGCCCAAUUCCUCUUCCCAACCUUUUAUUUGUUUGCAAACAAUUAUUUGUGUUUGUUUUCAUAUUAACACUAAUAUUUAAUUAAUUAAUUUACAUUCCCAAGAUAUUGCCAUUUUUAUUUUAUCUUCGUUUUUCCUUUCGUUACUUAUUUAUUAUUAUUAUUAUUAUUAUUAUUAUUAUUAUUAUUAUUAUUAUNNNNNNNNNNNNNNNNNNNNNNNNNNNNNNNNNNNNNNNNNNNNNNNNNNNUUAUUAUUAUUAUUAUUAUUAUUAUUAUUAUUAUAAAGCAAAAUUGACUUUAUGUUAAUCUUUUUGAACACAAACCUUUUCACAUUAAAACGACUUUUGUUUGUUCAAGUAAUAAUUAAUCUCAUUUAGAUUAAAGAGAGUUUUCUCAAGCAUGAAUAGAAAUGGAUCUUCAUAAAUUCAAAAGUUUAAACUUUUCCAUAAUCGAUUAAAUGUUCCUUAUUUCUUCUUAAAUCUAUCAUUUAAAAAUCAAGAUUUUAUAUUAACAUCGACCAUUAAAAUUAGUUUUUUUUUUUAAAAAAUAUUCUUUCCCUUAAAAUAAAAAUAAUUUAUUGUUACUAAAAAGAGGUUUUUGUUUAAAAAUUUUUUUUUCAAAGUCAAUUCUCUUUAGCUAAAAACAAGCCCUUUUUUCUUAAUGAAAUAAAAUUAUUUUCAAAAAUCACUCAAUUGAAUUUUGAUAUUUUCAUAAAAACUGAUAUUUUCGUAAAGUUAGUCACCCACUUAAGUUAGUCAAAAUAUUUUGGUCAACUGGUAUAAAAUAGACGUUUCUAAGUGCCUUAAAACAUUUCUUAGAACGCUAAUUGGACCCUUACCAAUUUUCUCUAAUUUUAAAAGUUUAUUUCUGUUUUUGAACCUUUAAAAUUUUUAAUUCCUUAAGUUUUCUUGAUUUUUCUAUAAAAAUUAAGUGGCGACUCUGUAAAUUUUUUGAGUUAUUUUAAAAAUUUUCUAAGUUUUGAAAUGAUUUAAGAAGUCAAGAACCAUUUUCUUACAAAUAAUUUGUCUUCCCUUUGACAAAUCAAAAAUGGGAUAAAAUAGUGGCCAGUGUGAGAAAGAAAGGAACCGAUGUUUUCAUUAUGUCCAGAUUGGACAUAUGGAGUGGGAUUGUCCCUCUAGAGUUUCUUCUGGGGCAAACAAGGUUCUUGUUGCCUCUUCAUCAGCUCCUGCAUCAAAGGGUGCCACUUCUAGCUCCGACACUAGUUGGAACUAUCUUUAUACUCUCACUACUCGUCAAGAGUCUGAGGCAUCUCUGGAUAUUAUCACUGGUAUUUUACGACUCUUUUCUCAUUAUGUGUAUUGCUUGCUUGAUUCGAGGUUUACUCUUUCUUAUAUUAACUUAUUUGUGGCUGUGAAUUUUGGUUUUGGUCUUGAGUGUAUCCCUGAUCCCUUUUCUAUUUCUACCUCGGUGGGUGACUCUAUGGUUGCUAGGAUAGUUUAUAGGGGUUAAGUGGUAUCUGUUGGUGGUAGAGAAACUCUAGUAUAUCUGAUAAAGUUAGACAUGAUUGAUUUUGAUGUCAUAUUGGGGAUGAAUUGGUUAGAUUCAUGCUAUGCCUCCUUAGAUUGUCGCACCCAUAAGGUCAUGUUUCAAUUCCCUAAUAACCCAGUCAUUGAGUGGGAAGGGGGUUCUCUAGUUCCUGCGAGAAGAUUCAUAUCAUAUCUUAGAGCCUGGAAGUUUAUUUCCAAGGGAAGUCUUUAUCAUUUGGUCUGGGUUAAAGAUUCAAAUGCGGAGGGUCCUUCAUUGAUAUCUGUUCCCGUGGUUAAUGAAUUUCUUAAGUUUUUUCCUGAUGAACUUCCUGGUAUCCCUUUCGACAGGGAGAUUGAUUUUGGUAUUGACCUUGUUCCAAACACAUGUCCUAUUUUUACCCCUUUAUAUCGAAUGACUCCAGCUGAAUUGAGGGAACUCAAGGUGUAUUUGAAAGACCUUUUAGACAAUGGUUUCAUCCACCCUAGUGUAUCCCCGUGGGUUCACCUAUUUUGUUUAUGCAUAAAAAGGAUGGUUCUCUUCAUAUGCGCAUUGAUUAUCGGUAGUUGAAUAAGGUGACAGUAAAGAAUAAGUAUCCAUUUUUAGAAUUGAUGAUUUGUUUAACCAAAUAUAGGUGCUAAAUUAUUUUCUAAGAUCGACUUUCGAUCUGUAUAUCAUCAGUUAAAGAUUAAGGAAGUGGAUAUUCCUAAAACAACUUUCCAUACCCGAUAUAGGCAUUUUGAGUUCUUUUCCUUCUUUAUACUCUGGUGAUGGACUUGGGUAUAAAGAAGGAUUAGAAGAGAAGGGGUGGGGAGUGUUAAUCCAGAAUAAAGUGGAGUGGCUUGGCAUCAGUGAAUACGCUAGAGAUAGUGGAGAAGGUAGCAGAAAUAGGGGUGUGAGAGUGUAGAGAGACGUGGAUGGUAUGUGUGAUAGGGCUACUAUGUUCAUCAAAGAGACUACUAGAGAGGUGUUGGGUGUCUCGAGGGGCCAGGCUGGACAACAUCAGAGGGGAAAGGGGACUGGUGGUGGAAUUAAAAAGUUAAGAAGAAAGUAAAGACUAAGAAAGGGAUAUAUGCUAAGUUAGUUGAGAGUAAGGAUGUAGAGGACAAAUGGGUAAAUAAAGAGAAGUACAAGUAAGCUAGGAAGGAGGCUAAGUUAGCAGUUACAACUAUUAAGAAAACAAUAUUUGAGAGCUUGUAUGUAGGGAUAGAGGAGAGAGGUGGAGAAAAGAGGUUGUAUAGGCUUGCUAAGGCGAGGGAGAGGGAGGGUUGUCACCUUAAUCAAGUGAAAUACAUUAAGAGGAAGGAUGAUAGAGUGCUGGUGGAGGACGUUUACAUUAAGAGAAGAUAGAAGUCAUAUUUUCAUAGUCUCUUGAAUGAUAAGGGGGCUGAGACAUUGUGUUAGGAGAACUGAAACACUCAGAUGAGGGUCAUGAUUUUUGUUAUUGUAGACAUUUUAAGGUGGAUGGAGUUAGAGAUGUUAUUCUCAGGGUAUAAAAGGGUAGGGUGAUGGGGCCUGAUGAAAUUCCAGUGGAUUUUUAGAAUUUUUCUGGCAGGCUGGGUUAAGGUGGUUGACCAAAUUGUUUAACGAUAUUUCCAAGACUUAGAAAAUAUCCGAGGCUUGGAGAUGGAGUGCUAUAAUUCCUUUAAUAAGAAUAAGGGUGAUAUCCAUAAUUGCAAAAACUAUAGGGGUAUUAAGUUGUUGAGUCAUACUAUAAAAAUAUGGGGGAGAGUGGUCAAGCAGAGAUUAAGAAGGAUAUUAUCUAUUUCAGAGAAUCAGUUUGGAUUUAUGCAUGGUCUAACGACGGAGGUAAUUCACCUGGUGCGGAGACUAAUGGAUCAAUAUAGAAAAAGAAAGAAGGACUUACAUAUGGCGUUCAUCGACUUGGAAAAAGCAAGACAAAGUCCUUAAGUAGGUUCUUUGGAGAUACUUAGAGGUGAUUGGGAUCUCGAUGGCAUACAUCAAAUCGAUUAAGGACAUGUAUGCUGGAGAAAGACUCAGGUGAGGAUGGCGAGAGGAGAUUCAGAGCAUUUCCCUGUCUUGAUAGGGUUGCAUCAGGGAUUGACUCUUAGCCUAUUUUUGUUUGCAUUGGUGAUGGAUGUGUUGAUAUGACGUAUUCAAAGAGAAAUGCCUUAGUUUAUGCUUUCUGUAAAUAAUAUAGUUUUGAUUGAUGAGACGCGUGGGGUGUGAAUGAUAAAUUAGAGAUUUAGAGACAAACCCUUAAGUCUAAAGGGUUUAAGUUGAGUAGGAGCAAGACAGAGUAUAUGGAAUGCAAGUUUAAUGACUUAAGGCAGGAUAACGAGGUGGUUGUAAGUUAGAUUCCCAGGUUGCUUGUAAGAGGGAUAGUUUAAGUAUCUCGAGUCCAUGAUUCAUGGUAAUAGAGAGAUUGAUGAGGAUGUCUCCCACCAUAUUGGGUCUAGAUGGAUACAGUGGAGGCUCUCCUCGAGAAUAUUGGAUGAUAGGAAGGUGCUGCCAAAGCAUAAAGGCAAAUUCUAUAAAGCGGCAGUCCAUCUGGCCAAGCUGUGUGGAGCAGAGUGUUGGCCAGUCAAGAACUACCACAUUCAAAAAUUUAAAGUGGCAGAAAUGGAUGUUGUGUUGGAUGUAUGGGCUUACUAGGGGUGAUAGGUUUAGGAAUGAGACUAUUAGGAAGAAGAUGGGAGUGGCUUCAAUGAAGAACAAGAUGCAGAAAGUUUGGAUGAGAUGGUUCAGACAUAUGACGAGGAGGGCUUGGAUGCCUUAGUUUGUAGGCAUGAGAAGCUAACUUUGGAUGGUUUCUGGCGGGGUAGGGGUAGGCUGAAAAAAUACUUGAGAGAGGUAAUUAGGUGUGACAUGGAACAGUUUUAAAUUACUAAGGACAUGACCCUAGAUAGGAAGUUAUAAAGGACGUGAAUUAGGUUAAAAGGCUAGUAUGUAUGGUGGGUCGUAGUCAGUAGUUAAGAGUACUUUGGGUAGCUGGGUCGGUAGUGUCUUAGGGCUAGAUCCAUAGGUUGGAGCUGCUAGUAGGAGGGUAUAGGGGUUGGGGGUACCUUUGGUUCGUUAGCGUAGGGAUAUUACUUUGUGGGUGUCUUAUUUCUAUUAUUCCAUCUUGUUUCAUGCUUUAUUAUGAAUUUAUUUACUAUUCUUUGUCUUGAGUCGGGGAUCUAUUGGAAAUGUCCUUUCUACUUCUUCAGAGGUGGUGGAAUGGGUUGUGUAUAUUUUACCAUCCCUAGACCCCACUAUGUGGGAAUACACUAGGUUUUUUUUUUUGUUAUUGUUGUUGUAGUCAUGACUUUUGGCUUGACUAAUGCCCCAAUGAUAUUCAUGGACUUGAUGAAUAGGGUCUUCUAUCAUUUUUGGGAUUUAUUCAUGGUUGUCUUCAUUGAUGAUAUUUUAGUGUACUUAAAGAGUGAGGUUGAUCAUGCCAAUCACCUCCACAUUGUGUUGCUGACCUUGAAAGAUCAACAGUUGUAUGCCAAAUUCUUAAAUGUGAAUUCUGGUUGAACGUCGUUAUAUUUUUGGUUUUGUAGAGGCUUUGUCGGAUUACUAUAGACUUAGGUGGUUUGUUUGAUUGUUUUGUAAUGGACGAUUAUCCAUGCACUGGUGGUUGGUCUAAACAUAUCAUGAAUUAUCAUAAUUUCUAUUAUACGCUAUCUUGUUAUAUUUUUGGAAUUCAUCCGAUAUUUGGGGAUAUAGUGUUGGUUCGGUUAGGAAAAGGGGGUGAUCUCUGGUCCACGUAAGACUGGAGAUACCCAUCAUGGCUAGGCUAGGCCCUGGUUCGGGUCGUGACACGUCCAAGCCAUUUUUCAUAUGUCCACUUAUUUUCACCGUUAGAGCAUUCCCAUAGCUGCCCUAAUUAAUUUUUGACUUUCUAGGACUAAUAGUUUGGUUAUCAAGCAAUUCGUUUGAUUCUUAGAGCCAAUUCCCUAUUUAGAAGUCUUCGUUGGUCCCAAUAGCCAUCAGGCAAAAAAUUCAGUAGUAUAAUCUCAUAUGUAAAUUCUGAUAGAGCCAGCAGCUCUGAAAUAUCAAUUUUAGGACAGGUAGAACUUUGGUUUUGCUCCCGAUGCACCCGAGCUCAUUUCGACCUAUUGGUCGAAAAGUUAGAUAAUUAGAAAUAUGGACGUAGGUCCCAUAUUUGGUUGAAAUAACCUCAGAUGAAAAAUCUAACUUAGCCAUUGUCUAGAACGUCAAAUUUAGUAGGGUUACAUAGUUUAUACGCAUAUAUCAAAUUCUGAAUAAAUCUAGUAGCCUUAACGAAAACUUGAAAAACUUCCAAGUUUCAGCUGUUAUCUGAUACCAGCGAUGGCACAUAGUGUGUACAGGAGAUAGUUUAAUCACACUAUGGGUAGUGGCAAUCGCAUCAUCUGUUCCUUCAGCCAUAUGGUGUGAUUGCACACCUGGGUGUGCUAUUGCAACACCUGAUUACCUGGAAGGGAUAUAAAUAGGCCUCUUAUGUCGCGAAUUGGCUGAUUUUUCACCUAUUCCUUGAGAGCAAAGGCCCUAAAGAGUGUGAUUGCUCAAAAUUGAGACUUGUGGGUGACUUGAGAGCUUGUUUAACUUUUCUUUUUCCAGAUUAUCAUUUGAAGUAAGGUAAGCUUUCAUCCUUUUCUUGGUAAAUUUUCUUGGUUCAUGAACAAAACCCCAAAUAGCUUGAGGGCUAUCUUUUAGCCUCAACCUAGCUUACUUUUCACCCAUUCUUGAGGAUUAUGAUUUCUUGAUCAUGUAUGAACAUUGGGUUGACCUCGAAAAUGUUAUUUUCAUAAGUGGGACCCCCACUUGGGGUUUUUGAUGUGAUUUUUGGAUACAAAGCACAAUGGUGCAAUAUGGUUAUCAUUAUUCUCGUAUUGAUAAGUAGAUUAUGAUUUUUAAAUAUUGUAGAGUGAAGACAAAUAAUUUAGGCGCAACUUAAGGAUUUAUAAUUCAGGAUUAAGAUGGAAUUUUGUCUACUAUUCUUCGUAAGAUGAUGUGUGUUAUAUAUUGCAAGUGAAUAUUAAUAUUAAGAUUGAUUAUAGGUAGAAUGAUUUAGUAUUGGGUAUUGAAGUUUGGGGAUUAGAUGAGGGUUUUGACCCGUAAGGUGAAAUGCUUAUUACACUUUUAGAAUCCUAUUUCCUUCUCCUUAGAUUGAACGAAUUCGUAGUAUGGAUAUGAUGCAAUGCUAGGUUAGGGAUGUGGUUUAAGCAUUGGAAGCGUGGUUAGUAUGAUUAACCUUAUUUGGACCAUUCUAGUAAGAUUAAAAUUGUGAUAUGUGUGGAGUUGACUUAAUUGUUCAUGUUCUAGGUGAAAUUCCUAUCUUAAGAUUGGUUAUGGCUUAUGUACCAUCAAGAAGUGAAUUUAGAUACCUUAGCCUAGUCCAGGGUGUAAAUUGCCUAACUAUGGAAUUCGAGGAUUAGAAGUGGGUUAUUUUUGGCCCAUCUUAGGCCAAGACUCGUGUUAGACCAUGUGGGCUUUUUUACAAAUGUUAGGCAUUGUUGAGACUAUUGAACCUUUAGUAUAGGGUUACUUUGUGAUUUGAUGAAUGGUGAUGGUUUUCCCAGGAGUAUGAUAAAUGGCCUAUAGAUGUAGGAUGUCUCAUAGAGGUGAUAUGUCUCAUAGUUGUGAUUUGUAUCCUAUGUUAGGGAGAGUGAUUCUCUGAGCCGGUUGGGAUUUCCAAUGCCUCAGGAAAUUGGUCGAGAUAGAUGACAACACCGGAUAUGAUAUGCCUCAUAGUUAUGCUAUGGCUUAUAGAUAUGAGAUGGCUUACAACUAUGAUUAUUGAUAUGAGUUUUGGAUGUGUAUAUGGGAUUAAGGCCAUGAUUAUGAUGUUGUAAUUAUUCUAGACAUAUUAUUGGGCCCAAGGCCGUGUUAUGAUAUCUGUUGGACAUGGGAAAGUAUUUAUCCUUGUAAAGGAUGCGAUUGUAGUAUAUGAUUAUAUUGAUGCUUAUAGUUCCAUUGUUCGAAUAUUGGUGAUGGCAUGCAUAGAUUUUGUACAUUCAUGAACAUUAAUUUGUAAAUGAUGUGAUUCUAACUAAAAUAUUUUCACGACCCAAACCAAGGCCUGGCUGUGACGGGCAUCCCAAGUCCACUGAGGACCAGAGAUCAUCCAUUAAGCCUAUUCCAAUACAACCAAGAACACCUAGCAGUGGAUGGAUACCAAUAAAAGAUAAAAUGAAAUAAGAAUCCAAAAGAAUCUGUAUCUAAUCAAAUAUCCAAAAAAAACCACAAUACCCAUAUCCACUGUAGUCCAACAAAGUCUCUAACAAAAUUGAAUACCAAUAAAGUAUUGGGACAUACCCCCCCCCCCCCCCCGACCAUAGACAAAAUAAAUCUAAAAUAAAGUCCAAGACAUAAGAAACUAAAACAUGAAAUGAAACUUCCAAUGUAUGGAAGCUCACCACUUCAAUGUCAACUCGUAGGCUGAUCCCAAAUCCUAGUCACUGUGGAAGAGGAGUAGAAGUAUGGUCAAAUCCUACAUCGCAUGGGGAUACAACGUAUAAAGACAGUUAGUGGUUAGAGCGCUAGCAUGUAACUCAGGGAUAAGUAAGUAAAGUAAUGCCAUGAUCCAUAAUAUGAAAACUAGUAAAACCCACGCACAAUAUCUCAUGCAAUAUAUACAUAUAUAUAUAUAUCGUAUGCCAGAAAAAAGAACAGGGUUUAGCAUUAACAUUAAAACCUUAACCUGGACUAUGUAGCUUGAUCAUCAUAAAACCACCCAUGGCUAUAUGGGUUUAGCUCCUCAGGACCCAGUGUGUGUUAACAACACGGCCGAAGAAAAAGAACUAGAGAUGACUAGUACAUCCGUAAAAUCUAAAGUGUGAUAUCAUGCACACGGUCACCAAGACCACCAUCACAUUGACAAAUAUAAGUUUCUAGUGUCGGUCCCCCUAGGACCUCCACCUUUCAUGGAUUUGCUACACAACCCCCUUUAAGCCCAUAUUAAAAUCAUUUACACAUUUUGAACCAUUUAUCAAGGAGUUUUUUAAUUAGGCAUUAACCGUUGGUAUCGUCAUACCAAUAUUAGAGCUUGUAAGUCUAUUACCUUAUGCCAUAUAAACCAUUAAACCAAAUUAGACUCCACUAUUUCCAAUUAAACUAAAACUAUUUACCAUCAAACCAUGGCCACCAAGGCCUUUCCAAAACCAUAUGAAACCAACCAGUACCAAUUCGUGUUCCUUUAACCAUUUAUGCAAUGCAAAGAUUUAAGAAUAGUCAAACAAUAUGACAAAAUUUUAUUCAAUGGAAAUUUCACAAACAAUUUGAGGGCAUAUAAUUUCCAAGACCAAAACCAAGUAAUUAGGGAAUCCAUGGUACCUCAAAAUUCAAUUUAUCAUUCCCAUAUACCCCACCAUAUUCACAAACAUUAAUAAAGCAUGAUUGUUUUGUAAUAAAUAAUGAAAAAAUCAAGUUAAAGACCAAUUAUGUCCAAUGCCCUCACUAAACCAAAACCCACAUCAAAACCAUGAAUUUGAUAUCAAUUUAUGCCAUUAAUGAAAUUAUAAAUUCAAGGGAAAUAGGAAAAUGCCUUAAUUACCAAUAAACUUGAAGUAGACAACAGCCUUAAGACCCUAGAUGACCACAUCCUUGAACCCUAGCCUUGACUUGAAAAGAAAGAUUUGAGAGAGGACUUUUUAGAGUGAAAUAACCUAUGUUGUGUCAUGAAAACUGAAGGAAAUAGGUUAAUAUAGUGUUUAGAGGUUAUUUAUAAGUGAAAGUAUAUCAAUACCACUCACCCAAGUAUAUAAAACCAAAAACUUCCCGAAUUUAAAGCAUCAGCGCAUCACGGAGGGUAAUCUCCAUGAUGAGCUCCAUAUCGCACUGUUAUCGUGGACCCUUACUUCCUCCUCGCAAAAAUGCUCAUAACUUUUCGCUCUAGUAUCAGAUUAAGAAAAAAUCAGAUUCCUUAGAAAGAGGACUAAAUUAUAUUUAAUUUGCUGGGUCUUGAGCCUUAAAAUUCCAUAUAUUCUAAGAGUUAUACACGUUCAAAGUUGAUACUGGUAGAAUCAAAUUCCAAAAUUUGGUCGAUAACAAAAGUUCCUAACCUCACUCUAAGUAUUUACUACGAACAUUCUUCCCCUCAAAAGAACUUUUCACACUAGGAUAAUGAUCAUGACACUUAUAUUUAUAUAGAAAUAAUUGGAUUCAAGUUUAUACACAUAGAAACAAUCGUUUGAAUUCUAGCUCAAAAAUGCAGGGUGUAACAAAUAUAAUCUCAUUACUAUUUUCCUAAAUAAAGGUUAAAGCCACCAUUUUUACCUUAAAAAUGGAUUUCUUCAUAAAAAUAACUACAUGUCUUAAUGGAUAACUUAUAUGCAUAAAAGAGAUUAAUAAUAAUGUUUUAAAGAUUUGACUGUGACAUAUUCCAUCCUAUGAUUUGAUACUACUAAUUAAUCCGAUCGUAAGAGAUUCUGCCCUUUUCUACACUUAUAUAAUGAUUUAGUCCCAAAGUUUACUCUGGGCAAUAAAUUUAUGAAGUGGCACUCUUUUUAGCCACGACGUGAGUCUGUGCACCUAUUAAAUAUAUACACACAUCUCUGUAGUAUGGGACAGAGGAAAAUAUUGUAUUGAUGAUAUAAAUUCUAGGUAAAACCCAAUGAUAUAUUUUUGUAUUGAUCUUAUACAUAUGUGUUGAUGAUUAUAAUGAUACUGGUUAUAUACCCGGCAAGAUCGGAAGAUGACUAUGACGAUAUGCUUAUAAACCCAAUAAGGUUGGAGGACAUUGUGAUGAUAUAUUGAUACCCAACAAGGUUGGAUGACAUAGUGAUGAUAAAUUGAUACCCGAUAAGUCCGGAGGAUAGUGUGGUGAUAUAUUUUUACUUGAGAAAGAUGUAGGAUAUUGUGAUGAUGAUAUUGAUACCCGAUAAGACCGAAGGAUGAUUAUAUUAAUGUGCCUAUGUAUAUAUCCACCUAUUCGAGUCCGGAUAGCCCUAUGUAUGGAAACGAUAUACCCUGUAAGGCCAGAGGAUAAUUAUGAUGAUGAUGGUUAUGAUAUUGAUUAUAUACUUUGCAUUCAUUCUUGCAUGUGCAUUGCCUAUCACCAGUAUGUGCCUAUAUCUAUCAUCCCAUAUAGGGGAUUGGAUAGGUAAGGGUGAUGAUUAUACUAUAACACCUCGUACUUUUUCCUAGCUUAGAAUUGUCUCAAGAAUGUUAGAAACUUUCUUUGAAAUAGGAAUUCAUUUUUGUACACAUGGAAUUUUUAAGAUUUUCACUUUUUAUCAUGUGGGAAAUUGAAUUGGCUUUCUAACAAUACCAAUUUCGUCUAAAUCCAGUAUCGGAGUGAAAAGUUAUGGAUGUUUUACCAAGACCUGUCAGAAUCGCCUAGGUGCGACGGCCAGGUUGACGGACCGUCGAUCUUGCGAUGGACCAUCUUCCUUGACCAUCGCAGCCAAGGCAGUAUGGUAACCUUCUGGAUAAGGUGCGACAGACAGGUUGACAGACUGUUGAACUUACGACGGACCAUCGCCCAAGCCAUCGCUACUUAGGCAGUGAGUCCCUAUCCUGGUGAUCCAAACGACGGACCGUUGAUCCAGCGAUGAGCCGUUGUAUGAGUCGUCAUAUAUCCCAUUCAAUUAUUUUUAAGUCAUUUUUAAAAGGGCUUUUUGAUCUUUAACCACCCGUUUAUAUACCUAGUAAUAUCCGACCAAGGCUCAUAAUUUUAUUAUUCUUCCACAACAUUAAAAUUAGGAUUUUCUCCCCAAGAGCAAUCCUUAAGCAACAAAAUCCAAAUCUUAUUCAAGAUCUAAGAGAUUCAAAUUUUUCAAGUUCAAAAACUUCAAGAAACUCACUACCAGGUAUGCAUAGUAUUCAUUCAUGGAAUGCUUUCGUCCGUGAAACCCAAGAAUCUCUUUUCAAAGUUCAAGUGUAUGUACUACUUUAUGAAUUUCAUGUUGGGUUUGAUUUUGUUCAUGUUGAUGAUGAGCAAUUGCAUUCUAAUCUAUGUUGGAUUAUCAAUUUUAUAUGGAAUUGAUUAGUAUAGGUGUAGAUUCAUGUGUACCUAUGAUUAAACCCUUGAAUGAUGAAAUUGUAGUUGAAUCAUGAUGUUUAUUUAUUGUAUAAUGUUGUCUCCAUAUACUAUGCUUACCAUUUGUUUGAUUAAAUGCCUAUGCGAAUGAAAAGUGUCCAACUAGUAUGAUAUUAUGCAAUCCUCAUGUAUGUACAAGUUUAGGCAUAUCACAUGUUUGAUGAAAUGCCUUAAUAAAUGAACUAUGGAUUGUGAUGUUGGUCAUGUAUUCAAGAAAGUCAUGCUUUGUCAGUUUCUUUCCAUUGAGUCCUAGGGGUACUUGUACCCGACAAUUAUCUAUAUUUCUAGAGCCUAUGUCAUGUUCUCAAGAUACUCUCAGUUAAGCUAUGUUCAGUAGAAUUCAGUCAGUUUCAUGACUUAGGAAAACUUAGUAACUUCAGUAAAUCUCAGUCAGCUAUCAGACCUCAGUAAUAUUUCGUUAGUCAACAGAACUCAGUAAACUCAGUCUAGCCAGUUUAGUUAAUCAUGUUCAGUGUCUAUUCAGAUGGGAGUAGAAAUUAGCAUUGAGUGAAUUCAAGGAUGGGAACUCACUGGUUAUAUGAGGGUGUGAUUCUUAGAAGCAAUCCUUACGUUAUAGAACUAAGUAGCCAGCAUAGGUUGAGCCAUCAUAGCCUGCUAUAUGAGGGUAAAUGAGGUGGCUUAACCUAUUAUAUCAGGGUUCCCACCAUUUUUACUAGAGUUACCUGUUAUAUGAGGGUACUCACAGAUUGUCCUUACUAGUGGUGCGGUAUUGACAUCCUUCUAAUUAGGGUUACAGAUUGGACCCCAACUCAGCCAUAAUGGCAUAUUAGGGGUGUGUCAUUAGAUAAAUACUUCCCACAGUUUUAGUAUUAGUAUCAUUAAAAGAACUUAGAUAAUUCUACACAAUUUAUGACUGCCGGAUACAGUCAACUCAGAUACAGUAUGGAUCUCAGCUAGUUCCAUCAGAUUUAGGACUGUCAGAUAUAGUCACUCAUGUUAUCAAUUAUAUCAGUCAUCGAAACUCAGUUACCAGUCAUGUUAGUUAUCAAUGAAUUCAUAUUAUCACGAUCUCAGUUAUAGUUACUAUGUAUUCAUGCAUGUAUUCUCACGUUGAUAUUAGUCAUUUAGUCAGCAUUGUUCAGGUAUAUAAACCCCAUGUAUUUAGCCUACCUCACAUGCAUACCAGUACAUUCAAAAUACUGAUGUAUUUGCACUAUGUUGUCUUAUACCAUAGGUUCAGAGACACGAGCUUUAAAGCAUUAGUAGUAUUUCAGUCUCAGUAGUCAGAGUUAGCUGUGAGUCCUCAUCUUUCGAGGGCAUGACCAUUUCUUUAUUAUCUCAUUAAUUAAUUUAUUUUUUGGAGUUAGUUGGGGACAUGUCUCAUCAACUCUUUAUUCAGAUAAUCAUCUUUUAGAGGCUUUUCAGACUACAGUAUGUGCAGAUAGUUUAUUUCAGUUAGUUUAGGGUAUUUCGUACCCCACCCAGAUGUCAUAUUUUAUUAGAUAUUAUGUCUCAGUUUUGAACCUUAUGGCUUUUCAGUUCAUGUUUUCGUAUUAUACAAUAUAUUAUGUAGUACACAGGUACAAAUAUCUGUCAUGAGUUAGCUUGUGGUCCUUUGGGAUCAUAAGCACCUUGUAGUAUUUCGGGUACUAGAUUCGGGGCAUUACAAACUUGGUAUCAGAGCCAAGUUUUCAAUAGUGUCCUAGGAAGUUUGAAAGCCUUAUCUAGUAGAGCCUUGUACAUGAGUGUGUUGCGUGCCACAUUUAUGUGCAGGAGGCUAUAAGAUGUUUUAGGAAUAGUUUCCCUUCUUUCAGUAUUCAUGUCAUGCCAGUGAGCAUAAUCUUAAGUCAAUCUCUCAGUCUAAUCUAUUUCUCCCUUUCUUCUACAGAACAUGCCUCCAAAAAUAAGAAACGAGAAUCAGUCAACCUCUCAGCUUGAAGUAUCUUUGGGCGAACAUGUUUCUCAUGCAGAGUUCAGAGCUGAAUUCACUACUCUUGCUCAGCCAAUUGCUUCUCAGAAUGAACGACCAGCUAUCGUUCUAGCUGACCCAGUGGCCAAUUUAGCUACAGCCAGGAUUUGUGACUUUACUCGAAUGAAUCCUCCAUCCUUUCUCGGGUCUAAGUCAGAUGAGGACCUUCAAGAAUUCAUUGAUCAGGUUAAGAAGGUUACUAACAUUAUAAGGGUACCAGCUAUUAAGAGUGCUGAGCUAGCUGUAUAUCAGUUGCAGGAUAUUGCUCACACAUGGUACAAGCAGUGGAAGUCAGAAAGGCCAGAUGAUGUAGGGCUUAUUGAGCGGGAGGAGUUUGUCACUACAUUCUCAGAGAGAUUCUUUUUCCUAGAGCUGAGAGAACCUACGGUGUUAGAAUUCAUCAACCUUGGGCAGGGCAACAUGACGGUGAAAGAGUAUUCUCUUAAGUUUACUCAAUUAUCCAUAUAUGCCCCUCAUGUGGUUGCAGACAGUAGGGCCAAGAUGAGUUAGUUUGUGUCUAGGGUGAAUGAUAGUGUGGUCAAUGAGUGUAGAUCUAUGAUGUUUAAUGGUGACAUAACUUUAGCCAGGCAUAUGACUCAUGCUCAUUAGAUAGAAGAUCAAAAGAUUAAAAUGAGGGAUAAGCAGAAUAAUAGAGCAAGGACAGGUAGUUUUAACUUUGCUCAGCCCAAAUCAGAAGAAGGAAACCAUUCUCAAUUUUGUUCUAAGUCAUCAGUUCCAACUCAUUCUUCAGCUAGUGCUCUAGCUCCUAAGUUCGGGGGGGUAACAAAAGAUAAAGCACUAGGCUCUAAGUAUUAGGGCACUGUUAAUAGUGCCCACACCUAUCCUCUUUGCCAGAUAUGUGGAAAGCACCAUCAGGGUAUAUGUAGAGCUGGUAGUGGUAUUUGUUUCGGGUGUGGCAAGCCAGGCCACAGAGUCAGAGACUAUCCUCAGGCAGGUCCUCAGGGUUAGUAGAACCAUUCCCCAACUUAGUCUGGUCGCCCAAACUAGCAUUGUGCCACCUCUAGCGCUACUAGUGGGCAACGCCCAAAUAGACUUUAUGCUCUUGAGUCCCGGCAAGAUCAGGAAAAUUCUCCUGAUGUAGUUACUGGUACGUUACAGAUCUUUUAUGUGCAUAUUUAUGCUUUGCUAGAUCCAGGAGCUUCUUUGUCUUUUGUUACUCUUUAAAUAGCAGUUGAUUUCAGAGUCAAUCCCCAAAUUCUAGCACAGCCCUUUUUAAUCUCUACCUCAGUGGGUAAAACCAUCAUAGCUCAGUGGGUAUACAGGAACUGCCUAGUUAUGAUAUUUCAGAAAGUUAUUUCAGGAAAUAUAAUCAAAUUAGAGAUGACUAAUUUUGAUGUCAUUCUCGGCAUGGAUUGGAUUCAUUCCUUCUAUGCCACAGUCGACUGCAGAAAUAGAAUAGUCCAGUUCCAGUUUUUGAAUGAACCUGUCCUGGAGUGGAAGGGUAGUGUAUGCACUUUUUGAGGUUAGCUUUUUUCCUACCUUCGGGCAAAGAAAAUGAUAUCUAAGGGAUAUGUCUAUCAUCUUAUUCGAGUUAAGGACACUAGUUCUACAACUCCCAAUCUUAAAUUAGUCUCAGUAGUGAAUGAAUAUUCAAAUGUCUUUGCCAAAGAUCUUCCAGGAAUUUCUCCCAAAAGGGAAAUAGACUUUGGCAUUGAUCUUCUUCCAUAUACUCAACCUGUAUCUAUUCCGACAUAUAGAAUGACACCAAUAAAACUCAAAGAAUUGAAAGAACAGUUGAAGGAUCUCUUUGAAAAGGGAUUCAUCAGGCCCUGUGUGUCCCCGUGGGGUGCACCAGUCUUAUUCGUGCGAAAGAAAGAUGGUUCAUUCAAAAUGUGUAUUGAUUACCAUCAUCUCAAUAAAUCCACGAUCAAGAACAAGUAUCCUCUUCCCAGAAUCGAUGACUUGUUUGACCAACUUUAGGGUGCCAGCUAUUUCUCUAAUAUAGACCUCAGAUCCGACUAUCAUUAGCUCAUGUUAGAGAAUAUGACAUUCCAAAAACUGCCUUUCAUACUCGGUAUGGUCACUUUGAGUGUCUGGUUAUGUCCUUUGGUCUUACCAAUGCCUCAGUAGCUUUCAUGGACUUAAUGAACCGUGUGUUCAAGCAGUACUUGGACAUAUUUGUCGUAGUCUUCAUAGAUGAUAUUCUGGUUUAUUUCCGUAGUGAGCGUGAUCAUGCAACCAUCUCAGAAUCAUACUUCAGACUCUCAGAGAUCAUCAGUUGUUCGCCAAAUUCAGUAAGUGUGAAUUUUUGCUAAGGUCAAUAGCAUUUCUUGACCAUUUCAUUUGAGGUGAUGGCAUUAGAGUAGAUCCUCAAAAACAGAAGCGGUAAGAAACUAGACCAGGCCUGUCUCUCCAUUUGAUAUCAGGAGUUUCUUGGGUUUGGCUGGCUAUUACAAACGGUUUAUUGAGGAAUUUGCUCCUAUUGCAUUCCCUAUGUCCAGAUUGAUUCAGAAGAAAGUCAAGUUUUAGUGGUCAGAUUCUUGCGAGAAGAAUUUUUAGAAGUUGAAGACUUAACUCGCCUCAGCUCUAGUUCUAGCUCUUCCAGAUGGUUUAGAUGGUUUUGUAGUGUAUUAUGAUGCAUCCAGAGUAGGUUUGAGUUGUGUCCUCAUGCAUCAUGGUGAGGUCAUAGCCUACGCCUCUAGACAUCUUAAACCCUAUGAGAAGAAUUAUCCUACUCAUGAUCUUGAGUUAGCAGCCGUAGUUUUUGCCUUAAAGAUUUGGGGGCAUUAUCUAUACGGUGUUCAUGUAGACGUGUUCAUAGAUAAUAAGAGUCUCCAGUAUGUCUUUUCGUAGAAAGAUCUCAAUCUUUGUCAGAGAAGGUGGUUAGAGCUCUUGAAAGAUUAUGACAUGAGUGUCCUUUAUCAUCCGGGUAAGGCCAACGUUAUGGCCGAUGCUCUCAAUAGACUGUCUAUGGGUAGUAUUGCUCAUGUUAAGGACAGUAAUUAGAAGUUAGCUCAUGAAAUCCAUCAGCUUGCCUGACUAGGUGUUUACUUAGUCGAUACAGAAGAGGGUGAUUUAUGGUUUCAGAGUAGUUCAGAAUCACCUCUAGUUUCUGAGGUGAAAGAAAAGCAAGAUAGAGACCCAGUUUAGUCAAGUUGAAAAAGUCAGUCAAGGAUCAGAAAGUAGAGGUUUUCUCCUAAGGGGGAGAUGGUGUUCUGUGUUGUCAGGGUCGUCUCUAUAUUCUAGGUGUAUAUGACUUAAGACAGCGAAUUCUUGAAAAAAUGCAUGGUGCGCACUACUUUAUUCAUCCAGGGGCCACAAAUAUUUACCGCGACUUGCGAGAAAUCUAUUGGAGUGGGAUGAAGAGAGAUAUUGCAGAGUUUGUGCCUAAGUGCUCUACAUGUCAGUAGGUUAUAUAGAGUAUCAGAAGCCUAGUGGUUCUAUACAAGAGUUCAGUAUUCCUACUUGGAAGUAGAAAGUUGUGAACAUGGACUUCGUGGCGGGUUUGCCUCAUACCCAGCAUCAACAUGAUUUAGCUUAGGUCAUUGUAGAUAGGAUAACCAAAUCAAUUCAUUUCCUUCCAGUCCAUACCUCUUAUUUUGCCCAGGAUUAUGCCAAACUCUAAUCAGAGAGUUGGUCAGAUUGCAUGGUGUUUCGUUAUCCAUUAUGUCAAAGAGAGGUACCCAGUUCACCUCUCAUUUCUUGAAAGCAUUCCAAAAGGGUCUUGGUACCCAAGUUCAUCUCAGUACAUCUUUUCAUCCUCAGACAGAUGGUCAAGCAGAAAGGACCAUUCAGACUUUAGAAGAUAUGCUAAGGACGUGUGCAAUUAAUUUUAAGGGUAGUUGGGAUGACCACUUGCCUUUGAUUGAGUUUCCAUACAACAAUAGCUAUCAUUCCAGUAUUAAGAUGGCUCCAUUCAAAGCUCUCUAUGGUAGGAGAUACAGAUAUCUAAUCGGUUGGUUCGAAGUUAGUGAGGCCACAAGGGUAGGCCAUUUUAUGAAGAUGAAUCCUCUUACUUUUACUAGAGUGAAGGUGAAGGAGGAUCCUUAGGCUUUCUUGGAUAAAAUGGAGAAGAUAUUCAGGGUAAUGCAUGCCACAAAUAUGGAAGGUGUAAAAUUUACAUCUUAUCAUCUCAAAGAUGUUGCGUACCAAUGGUACAAGGAGUAGGAUAAGGAUAGGGGAGAUAUUGAGGAGUUAUCCUAAUAGGAGGCUUUUUCUUAUGCUUUUUUGGAUUGAUUCUUUCCUCAGGAGCUGAGGGAAACAAAGAUAGAGGAGUUUGUGAAUCUUAAGUAGGGAAGAAUGUUUGUUAAGGAAUAUUCCUUAAAGUUCCACCACCUGUCAAGGUAUUCUUCGAACUUGGUGUCUGAUAUGAGAGAGGAUGAGAAGGUUCACUUUUAGGAUAUCUCGAGAUUUGAUCCUUGAAAGCAAGACUACUUUGUUUAUUAAGGAUAUAGAUAUUUCAAGGUUGGUUAUCCACAUGCAUCAAUUGGAAGUAAAAAAAUGAAAUGGGCGGAGUUUGGGGAAAGGUAGGGUAAGAGGAGCAAGUAUUUUAAGUAGGGUGGUGCUCCGUAGUAGGAUGGUCGGGUGGUGAAAAAUGGCUAAAGAGGAAGUAGGGGAGUUUUGUUCCUUCUCUACUUCUAGCACUCCUUACUCGAAGCAGUCGGGUGAAGGGCGUCCGCAAGGUGGUGAUAAUUUUUAGGCACAAGAUGCCUAAUAUCUAGUGAGUGGAUCACAUUUGACUUCUUUAUGUCCUCCUUUCCGGUUCUGUGGUCAUUUUUAUUAGGGCUUUUAUGACGAAGAAAGGUACAUAUGUUUUAAAUAUGGUCAGCUAGUCCAUAUACUCAGAAAUUAUCCAGUUGGUAAGGUUUCUUUGGGAGCGAUUAAAGUUCCAAUUUCUUCAUUUUUUGCUCACAUGUCUAGCGGUUUGGCUUCGGCGUCUGCUCCUAUUCCUGGUAUCGACACUAACCAAAAUAGGUUAUAUGCUCUUGCAUUUUGUUAGGAAUCUAAGGUAUCACCUGAUGUCAUUAUUGGUACAUUACAACUAUUUUCUCAUGACGUGUAUUGUCUGCUUGAUCUGGGGUCCACUCUUUAUGUGACCCCAUAUGUGGCUGCAUGUUCUGGUUUUGAUUCAGAGGUUGUUUCGGAUCCUUUUCUAUUUCUACCCUAGAAGGUGACACGAUUAUUGUUAAAAGUAUCUAUAGGGGGUGUGUGGUAUCUGUUGGUAGCAAGAAGACCUUGGUAGAUCUAUUUAAGCUGGAUAUGAUGAAUUUUGAUGUUAUUCUGAGGAUGGAUUGGUUAUACUCUUGUUACGCAUCCUUAGAUUAUUGGACUCAUAAGGUUGUCUUUAGGUUCCCUGGUGAAUCAGUUAUAGAGUAGGAGUAUGGUUCCUUAUCUCCUAGGGGGAGGUUUGUUUCUUAUCUUAGAGCUAAGAGAUUAAUCUCCAAAGGAUUUCUUUAUCACUUUUUCUGGGUUAAAGAUUAUAACUGGACGAUCCUUCUUUUCACUCGGUUUCGGUGGUAAGUGAGUUUCCUGAGGUCAUUCUGAAUGAUCUUCUUGAUGUCCCUCCAGAUAUGGAGAUUGAGUUUGGUAUCAAUUUUAUUCCGGACACUUAUCUAAUAUAUAUAACUCCUUAUAAAUUGGCUUUGACUGAGUUUAAGGAACUCAAGGAGCAACUUAAAGAUCUUCUGGAUAAGGGGUUUAUUCAUCUUAGUAUAUCCCUGUGGGGUGCAUCGAUGUUGUUCGUGCAUUAGAAGGAUGGUUCCCUUCGUAUGUGCAUUGACUAUCAGCAGUUGAAUAAGGUAACGGACAAGAACAAGUAUCUUCUUCCAAGGAUAAAUGACUUGUUUGAUCAGUUGCAAGGUGUCAAGCAUUUUUCUAAGAUAGAUCUUCGGUCUGGGUAUCAUCAGCUUAAGAUAAGGGAAGAGGAUAUCCCUAAGAUGACUUUUCGUACUUGGUGUAGGCACUUUGAGUUCUUGGUUGAGUCAAUUAGCUGGACUAAUGCCCUGACAUCAUUUAUGGAUUUGAUGAACAGGGUUUUUAGGCUGUUCUUGGAUCUUUUUUCAAUGUAUUUAUUGAUGAUAUCUUGGUGUAUUCUAAAAGUGAGGUGGAUCAUGCAAAUAACCACAUUGUAGUGUUGCGAACCUUCAAGGAACAACAUUUGUAUGCCAAGUUCUCCAAGUGUGAGUUUUUGUUAAACGUUGUAACUUUCUUGGGUCAUAUUAUUUCUAGAGAGAGGACCAUGGUGGAUACUCUAAAGGUGGUUAUGGUAAAAGGUGGCCUAGACCCACAACUCUAGCCAACAUUCAGAGCUUCUUGGGUUUGGUUGAGUAUUAUAGGAGGUUUGUGGAGGGGUUUUCUUAAUUAAGUGCUCCAUUGACUAAGCAAACUUAGAAGAUAGUAAAGUUCUCUUGGUCAGAAGCGUGUGAAUGGAGUUUUGAGAAGCUCAAGGAUAAACUGACUUCGACUCCAGUUUUGACAUUGCCUAAAGGUAGAGAGGGAUUUGUGGCUUAUUAUGAUGUAUCCUGGGUUGGACUUGGUUAUAUUUUGAUACAGCAUAGGAAGGUGAAUGCCAAUGCUUCCAGGCAGUUGAAAUUGCAUGAAAGGAAUUAUCCUACUCAUGAUUUGGAACUGUUGGCGGUGGUUUUUUCUUUGAAAAUCUGGCAGCAUUAUUUAUAUAUAGUACACAUAGAUAUCUUUUCUAAUCAUAAGAGUCUACUGUAUGUGUCAACUCAGAAGGAGAUAAAUAUCAGGCAUAAGAGAUUGUUAGAGCUUCUCAAGGAUUAUGAUAUGAGUCUUCACUAUUACCCAGGUAAAGCUAACGUGGUUAUGAUGCUCUUAGAAGGAUGUCCAUGGAGAGUUUGGCUCAUGUGGAGGAAGGAAAGCAGGAAUUGGUAAAGGAUAUUCACCGCUUGGCCAAUCAUAAAGUUCAUCUCUUGGACUUCAAGGAUGGUAAGGUAAUGGUUCAGGAAGUAGUUAGGUCAUCUCUUGGUGCAGAGAUCAAGGAGAAUCAAAUGCUAGAUCCUAUCUUGAUGAAAAUCAACAGUGAUAUAGGGAGACAUAAGAUAAUGGUAUUUGAGAUCAGUGGUGAUGGUACUUUGUGGUACCAAGGAAGGUUGUGUGUUCCUAAUGUUGAUGAUUUGCGACAAUGGGUUUUGAUUGAGGCACAUGAAUCCCCUUAUGUUGUUCAUCCCGAUUUGAUAAAAAUGUAUCAUAAUCUCAAGGAGAUAUACUAGUUGAAUGGUAUGAAAAGGGAUACAGAUGAUUUUGUAGCCAAGUUCAUAGUAUUCCAACAAGUCAAGGAUGACACAUGAGGCCUGGUGGGUUAUAUCAAGAAAUUGAUUUUCUUGAAUGGAAAUAGGAGGUGAUCAUCAUGGAUUUUGUUACCGGUCUUCUUGGUCUUGGAACUAAUUUGAUUUGAUUUGGGUCACUGUUGUUAGGAUGAUGAAGUCUACUCACUUCUUUUCAGUGAGGACUAACUUUUUGGCAGAGGAGUAUAUAAAGUUGUAUCUUCAUAUGAUAGUAAAGCUGCAUGUGGUACCUAUUUUUAUUAUCUAUGAUUGUGGUAUGUAGAUUUCAUCUUAUUUCUGUCAUGCUUUUCAGAAGGGAUUGGGUACUAAGGUGAGUCUGAGUAUUGGUUUUCAUCCUCAGAUGGAUGGGAAAACAGAAAGGACUAUUCAGACAUUGGAGGAUAUGUUUCAAGCAUGUGUGAUUGACUAUGGUGGAAAUUGGGUUGAGCAUCUACCUUGGUAGAGUUUGCUUACAAAAAUAACUAUCAUUCGAGUAUUGAUAUGGCCCUUUUUAAGACACUGUAUUGUAGGAGGUGUAGAUUUUCUAUGGUUUGUUCGAGCUUGGUGAGGAGGAUAUGUUCAGUCUGAAUUUGUUUUAUCAGGCUAUGGAAAAGGUGAAGGUGAUCUGGGAUAGGCUUAAGGCUGCCCAAAGUCACCAAAAGUCCUUUGCGGGCGUAAGGCAUAUAGAGUUGGAGUUUGAGGUUAGGGAUAAGGUGUUCUUAAGGGCAUCUACCAUGAUGGGAGUAAUACGGUUUUGGUAAAAAGGGGAAGCUCAUUCUUUAGUUUGUUUGUCCUUAUGCAAUUUUGCAGAGAGUUCAUAAUGUGGCUUAUGAAUUGGAGUUUCCUUCUGGUUUGAGCUCUAUUUAUCCGGUAUUUUUUGUAUCUAUGUUGAUAAAGUGUCAUGGUGAUCCUUUUUCGGUAGUUCCUUUAGAGGGCUUGGGUAUCUUGGAUUCUUUGUCUUAUGAAGAGGUCUUAGUUGAGAUCUUGGAUAGGCAGGAUCAUUGGUUACGAACAAAGGAUGUAGCCUCGGUUAAGGUUCUAUGGAAGAACCAUAAGGUGAAAGAGGCUACAUGGGAAAUGGAGGAGGACAUAAAGUCCAAGUAUCUGUAUCUAUUUUCUGCUCCUGGAUACGUGCGAAAGGUAUGCCUUGUUCCACAAUCUUUUGUUUUCAAAAUUUGUUAAAAGAGAUAUUUAUAUCUUUGCAUCUUUGUUUUCUAACUUGGUUAAAGGUUAGAUUGAUAUUUUAUAAUGCAAAUGAAUUGUGCUUGUGGUUACCCUACCUUAUCUAUCAUUCGAGGACGAAUGUCUCUAGUGAGGGAGACUGAAACACCCUAGGUUUCUGGCCCUUAGAAUAUUUCCUAGAUUUUUGGUGUCAAGACAAGGUGAGACUAGGGGAAAUUACUCAUAUACUAGGAUAUGAGUGGUAUGGGUUAGUUAUAUGUUGAACAGUGUUGGUUGGUGGGUUAGAUUUAGUUUCUGUAAUGGAUUUGUCUUGGGUGGUACGAGUUGUAUUAGUGGAUACAGGUUGUUUGGUUACUUCACUUAAACAUAGACUUUGUAAACUAAGUUAGAUCUAAGUACGAGAAGCUCACCAUGAGUCGUAAGCUAGGGUACAAGUCAUACUAUGGACUCUUGCAGUGCUCAAUCCUCUUUAGAUUAUAUUCUUCCAGGGGUAUGAAUCAUGGAUACUAGUUGUAUGCUUUGAUAUAACAUGGUUUAGGGUGAUUUAUCCCUUGGACAGUGUUGGGUCCAAAAGAGGUGGCCUUGGGUACGAGUGGUGGGUAGCACUCAUAUUGGAAGGUAUAUUGGUAUGGAUAGUUUUGUCCCUCUUAUGGGAUUUUUGUGCAGUUUAAGUGAGGGCGAUCUAGAAAUUUCCCCACGUAACCUAAUAAGGCCCCACUACUUUUAACUUACUUGAGAGGUUAUUUGCUCUAUUAUUCUAUUCUUUAACACUUAGAAAAACACUCUCUAAUCCUUUCUAAAUUUCUUGCAUAAGGAAUGUAGGGUUUCAUCUUAAGGAUUAAUUUGGGACUUGUGUUGAUGGUUUCUCUCCAUCAUCUUUAUGAUUUAAUUCAUGUUCUCCUCCCUCAUUGUUAGUUUCACAAAAGGCAUGGUUUUAUACGAUGUUUUCAUGAUUUGAUUAUUGUAUGGUUUGGGGUUUUCAAAUAUAAUAUGGGGGUUUUAGUUAUAAAUGUUUGGUUAUAGUUUUCCCAUAUUUUAAUUAUGUUUUAACAUGCUAUAUUGGUGUUUGGGAUAAUUGGAUUGCAUGGGAAUGGUUAUUGGUCAUUGGAAUUGGUUUUGGAAAUACUAUGCCCCCAAUGUGUUUGAUAAAAUUCUUAUAACAAUGUUUUCACUAUAAUAUUGUAUUUUUAAUGGAACUAUUGCAUAGUUUGAACUUGGCAAUGGAACCCUAAAUGGUUUGGAAUGGUUAAAUGGAAUAGUUUUGGGUUUAACAAUCAUUCUUGAGGGAUAUAAUGGGAUCCCCCAUGUAAUCGUAAUUAUGGAACACUUGUGGGGUACAUGGGACUCCUACAAGUUAAUUGGAUAAUAUGGUCUAUGGGUAUAUGGGAAUCCCUUGAUCUCAAAAUGGUUUGGCUAUGGACAAUACUUGCAAGUUAUAGUCGGUAUGACGAUACCAAUAUGUAUUGUCUUGGUUAAUGACAAUGGUUUUGGUUUGGAAAUAGUUUCAAUUGGGCAAUAAUGGCAGGGUGUGAUAGCUAACCGUGAAGGUAGGAGUUCAAUGAACGAACACUGGAAAAUCAUGUUUGCCGACAUGAGAGGAAGGUCAUGGCAACCUUAUAUUAUACUAUGAGGUACAUGGGAAUCCUUUAAGUACACUGUAAAUAUAUAUCAUUGGAGGUAAGGGUACUUGGGAAUCCCCUACUGAAAUGGUAGCUCCGGUUCAUGCGGCUACACAUAUCGAGGCCCGUUUAGGGGGUUACACUAGACCCAUAUAGCCUGUGGGUGGUUAAGAACGGUUAAGCUAUCCAUACCCAGUUAAAUGGUUUCAAAUGCAUGUUAAACUCAAUUCUCUUUCAUGGCAUGCUUAUAUAUAUGUAUAUAUGGUUAGUAUACCUAUGGAUGGUUUACUUGGUUCUAUUAAAUGGCAUUUGUAUGCAUAUGGAUGGUUUACUUGGUUUUAUUAAAUGAAAUUAUUUUAUCCUUAUCCUGAGUUCAUGCUAGAGUUCACCCGCUAACCCAUCUUCGGGUGGCUACAUCACCUGUAGGAACCAGCUGUUCUACUCCUCCUGCUUAGCGAUCAGACUUCGGGAUCAACUAUUGGAUUGAAGUGGUGAAAGGCUCCAUUUCAUAGAUGUUAUUUCAUACUUUGGUUUAUUUAUGGAUAUUUAUUUUUUCUAUGGUUGGGGCAUGUCUCAACCAAAUAUUAGUUAUCUUUUGGUUAGAGGCUUUUGUGGAACUACUAUAGGGUUGAAUGGGCAGGAUCCGUAUUGGUGUCAGCCUUAGUAUUGCCAUUGGUAUUGGGGAUGAUAUUGGCUGACUGUAUUAUUGGUUGUCCAUCCUUUUUUAUUUUGACACUAUAUAUAUACUUAUUAUGGAACUCAUAUGAUUUGGUUGGUUUUGGUUAUCGGUUGGGUAUUGGACAGUUGGACUCGUUUGGGGGUCACAAACAUAGACCUAUCCCAGAGUCUUAGAUUAUGCAAUGUCUCUAUCUUGUUAUAUGUUCAGAAUUAAUCUUACUCAGGAUAUGCGUAAGUUGGUUGGGUAAGAUAAUAGGGGUACUCUCCAGUCCUGGUUGGACUUGGGAUGUCCAAUAUGACAAGUCCCUGGUUUAGGUCAUGUAAGGUUUUUAUCACAACUUUAGGUUCAUGGUCAAUUGGGAUUCCAAAAAGUCAUGUCUAGUAGAGUCUCUUUUAGGAGAGUGUAGCACAUCACACUCAUAAGAGAGAGGCUACAGGGCAUUUAGGAAUGCUUCACUUUCUUGGUAUUCGAUUUUCAAGAUUGAAGUUUAUAUCCUAGAAUUUUCUCUAAUCCAUGUUUGUUCGCUUUUUAGAUCAUGCCUCAAUGAUCUGGAACACAAAGAAAUUCUUCUGUCCUAUCUGGGGACGAUGUUGAUGGAUUACGCCCUACACCUAGAGUUUGUACUUGAUCUCAAGGUCCUAUCCCUGAUUGUUCUGGAGUUCCUCCGAUUGCUACUAGUCCUCCUUAAGGUGAGGUGACUAAUGCAGAAUUUCAUUAGUUGAUUCAAGUUAUUGCUCAAUUGGUUGCUUCUCAGGAUGAGCAUGAUACAUCUGGUGUUUUAUCUACUAAGGACACAAGGGUUGGCCAGUGUAUGAAGAUGAAUCCUCUUACUUUUACUGGAGUAAAGGUGGAGGAGGAUCUUUAGUCUUUUUUUGAUAAAAUGGAGAAGAUAUUCACGGUAAUGCAAGACACAAAUGUGAAAGGUGUAAACUUUGUAGCUUAUCAGCUCAAGGAUGUCCCCUUUUGAGGCACUUUAUCAUGGGAGGUGUAGAUCUCCUAUUGAUUGAUUCGAAAGUUGGUGAGGUGGUUAUGUUCUAUCCGAAUUUGGUUUAUCAAGUUAUGGAAAAGGUGAAGGUGAUUUUGGAUAGGCUUAAGGCUUCCCAAAGUCUCCAAAAGCCUAUAUGGAUGUAAGGCAUAGAGACUUGGAGUUUGAGGUUGGGUAUAAGGUGUUCCUAAAUGUAUCUCCCAUGAAGGGAAUAUUACGGUUUGGUAUAACGGGAAAGCUCUUUCCUUGGUUUGUUAGUCCUUAUGUAAUUAUGUGGAGGGUUGGUAAUGUGGCUUAUGAAUUGGAGUUCCUUCUGGUUUGAGCUUCAUUCAUCCGGUAUUUCAUGUAUCUAUGUUGAAAAAGUGUCUUGGUGAUCCUUCUUCAGUGGUUUCUUUGUAGGGCUUGGGUAUCUCGGAUUCUUGUCUUAUGAAGAGGUCCUACUUGAGAUCUUGGAUAGGCAGAUUCGUCAGUUACAGACGAAGUAUGUAGCCUCGGUGAAGGUUCUAUGGUGGAACCACAAGGUGGAAUAGGCUACAUGAGAAGCGGAGGAGGACAUGAAGUCCAAGUAUCCGCAUCUAUUGUCGAGUCAAAUACCAAAAUUUUGACGAAUUAAAGGCUCUUAGCUCAACUUUGUUCUAAGUGAUUCCUAUGAACAUUGUUUACCUAAAAAGUACUUCACACACUAGGAUAAUCAUCUGGACACAUAUAUUCAAAUACCAAUCAUAGGAUUAAAUUUUACAUACAUAGGAACGAUGAUUCGAACUCUAGCCUGAAAAUGUGGGGUGUUACAAUUAUGUGAUUGUUGAUCAUUUGAAUUUAGACUCCAUUUCUGUUUAUAUGUUUUAUAUAUUUCCACUAUCGUUGGAGCUCAGUCGGUAAUUGGCUAAUAAUUAUCACAUGUUUGGUACUCAUACUACUCUUCUGUAGCCUACAAAUCAUAGUACGAGUAGUCAUCGAUGCUCCAUGUCGUCAAGAGCAGCCAUGGUUCAGAGACUUAGAGUGAGCUACUGAUGUUUAGAGUAUUACUUACCUUUCUUUUAUGACUAGUCUACUUUCAAUAUUCUAUUUGGAGAUAAGUUGUAUCAGUGUAAUUACUUGGUAUUUCAUUUUUGUACUCUUAUUUUAUUAGAAGCUCUUGUACUGAUACCACCAGAUUUUGGGACUAUAUUAUGUAUUUGAUCUUUUAGUAUAUAUAUUCUGCAUUCUUUUUGUUAUCUCUUUGGGUAGUCCGUGACUAGUCGUUCCGGACUAUGGGUUUGGCUUGCCUAUGGGUGAGUUCUAGUAGGCGCCAUCAUGACCUGAGAAAUUGGGUCGUGACAAAUUGGUAUUAGAGCCUAGGUUCACCGGUGUAUUAUUACAAGAGUUAAGUGUUUAGUAGAGUCUUAUGGAUUGGUGUAGAGAUAUCUGUAACUUAUUUUUUGGAGGCUAUCGGGACAUUCUUAGAAAAUCCAUUUCUUGACUUCCUGUUUGUUACCACCCGAACUAGGGCUUGGCCAUGACAGUUAUCUCAAGUCCCAUAUAGACCAGAGAUCACCCCUGAACCUAACCAAACCAACAACAACACACCCCAAUGUUGGAUGAAUUCCAAACCUAUAACAAGAUAGCAUGCAAAAGCUUAAGAAAAAAUUAAUGUAUGUCAAUAACCGACGAUGGGUCGGCCAACCAACUAACCAAUACUGCCCAAUAACCACAGUAAUCCAUACAAAGCCUUCUAACAAUGAACCAAGAUUGAAUAUCAAUAAAGUGUCUGGACAUGCCCCUGACUAUAGCCAAAAAAUGUCUAAACAGUUUGAGCCAUAAGAGACCAAAACAUUUAAUGAAGACUUCUGAUAUAUGGACGCUCACCACUUCAUUGUCAACUCACAAGCCGAUCUUGAAUCCCAAUCACAAAGUAGGUAGAGCAGAAGUAUGACCAAUUCCUGCAUCGCGUGGGGGUACAACUUCUUAAGACGAUUAGCUGUUGGAGAGCUAGCAUGAAACUCAGGGAUAAGGAUAACAUAAUGUCAUAAUCAACAGUUUAAAAUCAUUCAAAACCAAUGCAAAUAAUCAAAUGCAUAUACAUAUAUACUUCACAUUCCAGGAUAGGGAACACGGUUUAAUAUGUACUUGAAACUUUAACCUGGAUUAUGUAGCUCAACCAUCAUAAAAUGUACCCAUGGGAUAUAUCGGCCCCAACUUUAACCCCUUGGUUGGGCCCUAGUGCAUGUAGCUGCACGAACUGGAGAAUAAUCUCAUUUAUAUACACGAGGAACUAAAACCUCCUAAUCAUAUACUAAGGUGACGUAAGCACCAGAUCAUGUAAUGAUUUAAAGGGGAAUAGAAACUCUCUAAUCAUGAAAUAAUAAUGAGAGGGACUCGAAGCUCUUUGGUCACUUUGACCCCAUAUCGGUAAACAUGAUUUCGAGUACCGGUCACUCAGACCUCUAUUUUUAUGACUCAGCUACAUAACCCAUAUUAGAGCCCAAUUAAAACAAGUAUCACAUAUUCCCGUUCAUUGAACCACAUUCCACAUUAAGGCAUACAUUGUUGGUAUCGUCAUACCAACUACAUUUGCUUGGUAAGAACAACAUGUCAAAACAGUUUCUAUUAACUUGGGGAAAAUAACUUCCUUUAUUCAUUAAUAAAAGGUGGGGGAACACCGACUCCCUUUGUUCAUUAAAUCAGACCAUUAUGUUUGAAAUAUCUCUUUAUAUCAUGCAAUAGUUCAAGACUAGUUCAAUUUUACAAAUUCCCAGAGUUCUCAUAAUUUAAAAACCAAUUUCACAAUAUGGAGUUGGGUUCAUUACCACUUCAAAAGUCACAAGUUUAAAAAAAUCACAAUUCCCUAGUUCAUUUACCGUACCCAUGAACCCACACAUUCAAAACCAUGAUAAAAGUAUGGAAAUCAUAUAUAAACCAUGAGAAAUAUUUUUCAUUUCAUAAGCACUCAAAACCCCUAGCUUUUGUUUUAAAACUAUCAUAAAUAUCUCCUGAACUAUACUCUAAAACACAUGCCUUUAACAAAUUAAUAAUGAGGGAAGAGUAACAUUCCUUAAACACCAAGAAAUUUAGAGAGAAAUCAACCCUUGAGCACUUAGAUGACCAACUUGAUGAAACCCUAGCUUGACUUUCUUGAGGGAAUUCAGAGAGCCUUUUGGAGUGUUUGAGAAGUUACUUGGAUUGUUUCUAAGUCCUAAUGACACCCGAAAGGGUUUAUAAGACGUGGGAUUUAAUUUGGGUAAGGGACAAAUGUCCAGAAUGCCCUUGACUUAAAAGCUGCAAAGUAUCACCCUUGACUACGGGUCAAUCAGUGACUCAUAGCCACUUCUUAAGACUCUUCACCAUGAGUCGUAACCAAUAUAGUCUCUAGGACCCCCACAUACUUUUGACCCUAUGACUCUCUGGUACCACUCAUAAUUAGACCCUACGACUCGUAAGUUCCAGUCAUAAUCAAUACAUAACCCAAUUGGGUAAACUCUGUAAAUCCUAUGAUUUUCACCGAAUGACUCGUAACAAGUCCUUACAGCUAAUAGUAAGCCACUCGUACUCAGAGAAGAACUUAGCCACUAUACUUCUGAUUUGAUUAAUGAUUCCAUCCCAAUGACUCGUCAUGAGUCUUUACGACUCGUACCCUCAAGUUGUUCCCAAGACAGAAUCUCAAAAACCCCUCACUGGACAACUUAUGACUAUGGUUACCUGACCCAUCAAGACAUGUUACAACUCAUCAGAUGAGUUUUUUCUAGGGAAUAAAGCUCAGGACUCAGAAAAAAUUCGAGGACCAAAAACCCAGGGCAUUCCAUACUCCUUCUCUUAGGAUCAUUCAUCCUUGAAUGAUAGGACAAGGAUUUUUUAAGCACAAUUUUACCUCACAUACCUCUACUCUUACCUUUAACAAAGAUAAAAAACAAAGAUUAGAAAAUAAGAUUUUACAAAAUACACAUACCUUAAGCACGAUUAUUCAAAAUGGGAAACAAGAAUAGAUACUUGAACUUCAUGUCUUAUUCAGCUUCCCAAGUAGCUUUCUCAACCUCUUGGAUCCUCCAAAGAACCUUUACUAAAGCCACGUCCUUCGUCCGCAACCGACGGACUUGAUGAUCCAAAAUAUCAAUAGAGACCUCCUCAUAGGAAAAAGAAUCCAAAAUACCCACCUCCUCUAAAGGAACAAUCUUCGAUGGAUCACCCACUCACUUCCUCAACAUUAAAACGUGAAACACCGAAUGAAUAAAGCUAAAAUUAAAAGGCAACUCCAAUUCAUAGGCAACAUUACUAACCUUCUUCCAAACCAAGUAUGGACCAACAAAAAGGGGACUGAGCUUCCCCUUCUUACUAAACUGCAUCACUUUCUUCAUGGGAGACACCUUUAAGAACUCCCAAUCACCAAUAUUGAAUUCUAACUCCAUUCGCCUUACAUCCGCGUAGGACUUUUGGUGACUUUGAUUGGCCUUAAGUCUACCCCGAAUCACCUUAACCUUCUCCAUAGCUUAGUGAAUCGAAUCAGAGACAAAUAACUUACUUUCACCAACCUCAAACAACCCAAUAGUAGAUCUAGACCUCCUAUCAUAUAAGGCUUCAAACGGAUCCAUACCAAUGCUGGAGUGAUAAUUGUUAUUGUAGGCAAAUUCUAUGAGAGGUAAGUGGUAAACCCAACCAUGCCUAAAAUCAAAUACAUAAGCCCAAAACAUAUAUUCCAAGACCUAAAUUAUCCUUUCCGUUUUCCUAUCUAUCUGCAAGUGGAAUGUGGUACUAAAGGUCACCUUAAUCCUUAAACCUUGCUGGAACAACCUCUAAAAGUGAGAUGAGAACUGAGUGCCCCAAUUAGGUAUGAUGGAAACUAGUGUACCAUGCAACUUCACGAUCUCCUCAAUGAAUAACUUGGAAAAAUCUUCAGAAGAAAAAUUACUCUUCACUGGCAAUAAGUGAACAGACUUAGUCAUUCAAUCUACUAUGACCCAAAUCAAAUCAAAUAGUUGGCGAGAGAUAGGAAGACCAGUAAAAAAUCCAUAUUUAUCAUCUCCCAUUUACACACUGGUAGCUCAAUUUCUUAAGUUAACCCAAUGAGCCUCAAUACUCUAUCUUCAUUUGUUGACACACCAUGUACUUAGCCACAAAAUUUACCAGUUCCACGACAGAUUUUCUACCAAUAAAUUUCCUUAAGAUCAUUGUACAUUUUUCAUCAAAUGAGGGUGAAUAGUAUAAUGCGACUCAUGAGCUUCAGCCAAAAUUCUUCCCCGCAACCCAUCAAUAUCGAGAACACAAAUAUUCCUUGGAACCUCAAGAUACCAUCACCACCAAACUAGAAAACUAUCACUUUUUUCCUACAUACAUCAUUCUUGAUUUACAUCAAAAUAGGAUCCAACACUUGUUUCUCCUUUAUGUCAGCACCAAGAGAUGGCUUUUCCACCUCUUGAAAAAUUACACCAUUAGCCUCGAAAUCUAAGAGACGAACUCCAAGAUAAUUCUAACGAUGAAUAUCCUUCACCAAAUCCCGUUUCUCCUUAUCCACUUGAGAUAAGCUUCCUAUGUAUAACCUGCUAAGAGCAUCAACAACCAGGUUAGCUUUACCUGGAUGAUAGUGGAGACUCAUGUCAUAGUUCUUUAGCAGCUCAAGCCACCUCCUAUUUUUGAGAUUUAAUUUUUUUUUUGGUGAACAUGUAUUGUAGGAUCUUAUGAUAAGAAUAAAUAUCAACAUUGACCUCAUACAAAUAGUGCCAUUAGAUCUUUAAUGCAAACACCACAGCUAACAAUUCCAAAUCAUCAGUUGGGUGAUUCAUCUCAUGAACUUUCAACUAACUAGAAUCAUAAUCAACCACUUUACCAUGAUACAUUAACACACAGCCCAGUAGCACCCAAGACGCAUCACAAUAGAAAACAAAACCAUUGGUGCCUUCAAUUAGAGUCAAGGCCAGAGUUGAAGUCUACUUAUCGUUUAGCUUCUCAAAAUUACGCUUAGAAGCAUUAAACCAUAAAAAUUUCAACUUCUUUUGAGUUAACUUAGUCAACGGGGCAGCAAUAGAAGAAAAACUCUCUACAAACCUUCUAUAAUAAUCGGGUAAACCUAAGAAGCUAUAAAUAUUAGAUGAGUCGUGGGUCUAGGCCACUUCUUAACUAUCUCAGCCUUCUGUAAAUCCCACAUGACCCUUUUGCUAGAAAAAACAUGACCCAGAAUGUUAUAAAAUUCAACCCAAACUCACACGUAGAGAACUUUGCAUACAAAUAUUGAUCCUUUAGGGUCAUCAACAUAACGAGGAGGUGAUCAGUAUGAUCUACCUCACUUUAGGAAUGCACCAAAAUAUCAUCGAUAAAGAUAAUGACAAACAAGUCCAAGAACUAACAGGAAACAUAAUUCAUAAGAUCCAUAAAUACAGCCAGGGAAUUGGUCAAACCAAAGGACAUUACCAAAAACUCAAAAUGACCAUAUCACGUUUGAAAAGAAAUCUUACGGAUAUCCGCCUCCUUAAUAUUCAACUGAUGGUACCCAAACCAAAGUUUAAUUUUGAAAAAGAACUUAGCCCCAAAGCUGAUCAAAGAGAUCAUCAAUCCUCGAAAGCGGAUACUUAUUCUUCACGGUUACUUUAUUCAGUUAGUGGUAAUCAAUGCACAUUCGAAGGAAACCAUAUAUCUUAUGCAUGAAGAUAACCGGAGCACCCCAUAAAGACACAGUAGGAAAGAUAAAACCCUUGUCAAGAAAAUUUUUCAACUGCUCUGUGAGUUCUUUCAACUCAGUCGGAGCCAUUCUAUAAGUAGGAAUAUAAAUAAGAUGAUUGUCCAAAAGAAGAUAGAUCCCAAAAUCAAUUUCCCUAUCGGGAGGAAUACCAAGAAGAUCAUCAAAGAACACCUCAAAAAAUUAACAAACCAUAGGGACAGUUUGUAGAAAAGGACCUUUGGAUCUAGAAUCCUUAACAUACACUAGGUGAUAGAGGCACCAUUUAAAAAUCAAUCUUCGGGAUUUAAGAUAUGAGAUAAACCUUCCCUUAGGCACUAUGGAAAUACCUGCCUAUUCAGUUAUCGGCUUACUUAGAAAAUUGAAAUUGACUUUUUAGGUUCAAAAUCAAGAGAAGCAUAACACGAAUGCAACCAAUCCAUCCCUAAAAUCAUAUCAAAGUCUAAUAUGUCCAACUCUAAUAGAUCCAACAAAGUCUUCCUACCAUGAAUCGAAAUUACAUAACCUCUAUAGAACCUUCUAGCCACAAUGAGUCAUCCACUAGGGUGGAUACAGGGGGAGGAUCAAAAGUACAUCUAGAUUAAAGCCAAAAUGAAUAGCCAUAUAAGGGGUCAUAUAAUAAAGAGUAGACCCGAGAUCAAGUAGACAAUAUACAUCAUGAGAAAAGAGCUUAAUCAUAGCAGUAACAAGAUAAGGGGAUGCAUCAGAAUCAUGGUGAGUGCAAAAAACAUAUAGACGGUGCUGACCAAUGCCAGAGCCAGAAGCAAAAGUAGCACCCUUUGGUGAAGGAGCAGACAAAGUAUCAACGGGAAUCUUACUUGCCCUAGACGCAACCUUAAAAGGAUAAUCCCUCUGUAGAUGACCUGUCUGGCCAUAUUUAAAGUACUUAUUCUUCCCUUUCUUGCCAAACCCAUAAUGUACCUAACCAUAAAAUCUAGAAGAAGGAUAUGAUAGAGCUGACUGAGCCCCACUAGCUGGUAACUAGGCUUAUGGCUCUCUAAAUACACCAUCAUAAGGCGAACAAUGGUCACCUGAAGGCUUUGGAUAAGGAGCACUAGAUGUAGAGUAGGAACCCAAACUGCCCCAUUAUUUCUUAGACCACUUCUCACCAUCUUUACCACUUUAUUGCUGACCUCCACCCUGAUUCAAAUGGCAAAACUUCUUAUUCUGCCUCUUACUCAUCUCUGCUUGCUUCUUCUUUUCUUUCUCCACCUGUUGUAUAUACACCACAAGUCUAGAGAUAUCCAUAUCCUUAUUCAAUAAGACAGCCUUGCUUUCCAAGAUCAACUCUCAGGACAACCCCAAAUCAAAAUUCCUUAUUCUAGCCAUCAUGCUAGCCACCAAUUCAAAAGCAUAAUACAAUAACUAAUGAAACUUUAAGGCACACUCCUUUACUAAUAUCCUGCCUUACUUUAGAUUCCUUGACCAUUGCCUUUCUCAACUCCUGAGAAAAUAAAUAGUCAAGUAAAGCACUUGAAAAAUCAUUCUAUAAAGAGGAACCGACAAUAUCACCCCUAGAUUUGUCCCACUCCUCAUACCAUUGGUACACCAUAUCCAUAAAUUGAUAAGAUACAAACUCUACACCCUCCAUGUUUGUAGCUUGCAUCACAUGAAAGAUAUUUUUGUUCUCAUUAAUAAAAUUUUAAGGAUUUUCUCAACUUUAGAACCAGUGAAAAUAGGUAGACUCAACCUCAUAAAUUAGUCAACCUUAGUGGCCUCAAAUAAUGAAGCAAUAAAAGAAACACACUUAGUCUGGGAGGAUACCAACUAGGUGAGAAAAUAAAUCAACUGGCAAAACUCAGCAUUAGGCACAUUAAGUUGAGGUUCCCGAGGAGAGAUAGGGGAACAAGUAGAGCUCCCUCAGGGAAAUUAGAGGUAGCGACCCUGGACUGGGUCUAAACUCCUGGAAUUGGAUGAGAUCCAUCCAUAUAAUCCUCAGAUGGGAUAAAAGAUUUGUCAUGACCAUCAGAUCUUCAGGAAGAUGUGAUCUGAAAAUCAAACACAUGAGAAUUAGAAAAGAUUCAAGACCUUGGACUCUAUAGCUUGAAAUAACACAAAAUGAAAGGGAAACAUUCCUAAAUAUCUAGUAGCCUCUCCUUUAUAAGUGUAGCAUGAUACAUACCCAUAAACGAGACUCUACUUGACAUUGCUUUAUUGGAAACCUAAUGAAACCAAACCUAGGCUCUAAUACUAUCUCUGUUAUGACUUAGCAUGCUACACACCCAUAAAUGAGACUCUACUUGACAUGACUUUAUUGGAUACCUAAUGACACCAAACUUAGGCUCUAAUACCAUCUCUGUCAUAAUGAAAAUCAGAGCCUGGUCGUGAAGGGUAUCUCAAGUCCCACAUGGAUCAGAGAUCACCCUGCACCUAACCAAACCAACCACAACACACCUCAAAGUUGGAUGAAUUCUGAACAUAUAACAAUAUAGCUUGCAAUAGCUUAAGAAAAAUUUAAUGUAUGUCAAUAACUGACGACCGGUGACUGACCGACCAACCAACCAACACUACCCAAUAACCACAGUAGUCCAAAUAAAGCCUUCUAACAAUGAACCAAACCUGAAUAUUAAUAAAGUAUUGGGACAUGCCCCCAACUAUAGCCAAAAACAAGUCUAAACAAUUUGAGCCAUGAGAGACUAAAAUAUGAAAUUUAGACAUCUGAUGUAUUAAAACUCACCACUUUAAUAUUAACUCAUAAGUUGAUCCCAAAUCCUAACUGAGUAGGAAAUGUAGAAGUAUGACCAAUUCUUGCAUUGUAUGGGGGUACAACAUUCGAAAAUGAUUAGCAGUUGGAGUGAUAGCAUGAAACUCAAGGAUAAGGAUAAUAUAAUGUCAUGAUCAAUAGUUUAAAAUCAUUCAAAACUAAUGAACAUAAUCAAAUGCAUAUACAUAUAUACUUCACAUUCUGAGAUAGAGAACAAGGCUUAAUAUGUACUUAAAACUUUAACCAGAAUUAUGUAGCUCAACCAUCUUAACAUUUACCCAUGGGAUAUAUGGGCCCCAGAUCUCACCCCCUGGCUGGGGCCCAAUGCAUUAAUCCAAAUAAAGCAGAGAAUAAACUCAUAUAUAUGUACUGGGGACUCGAACCUUCCAAUCAUAUACUAUAGUGACUUAAGCGCCCGAUCAUGUAAUGAUUUAUGAGGGACUCAAACCUCCCUAAUUAUGAAAUAAUAAUGUGGGGGACUCGAACCUCCCUUUUCACUUUGACCCCUGCAUUGGAAAACAUGGUUUCCAGUAUUGGUCACUCGAACCUCCACUUUUAGGACUCAACUACACAACCCUUAUUAGAACCCAAUUAAAAAAAGUAUCAUACAUUCCUAUUCAUUGAACCACAUUCCACAUUAAGGCAUACAUUGUUGGUAUCAUCAUACCAACUAUACUUGCAAGGUAAGAACAAUAUGCAAAAACAAUUUCCACUAACUUGGGGAAAACAAAUCCUUUUUUUUAUUAAUACAAAGUAGGGGGAAACCGACACCCUUUGUUCAUUAGAUCUGGCCAUUAUGUUUCAAAUAUCUCUUUAUAUCAUGCAAAAGCUCAAGACUAGUUCAAUUUUACCAAUUCUCGCAAUUAUCAUAAUUUAAAAACCAAAUUCACAAUAUAGGGUUGGGGUCAUAACCACUUUAAAAGUCAUAAGUUUGGGAAAAUCACAAUUCCUAAGUUCAUUGAUCAUACCCAUACACCUACACAUUUAAAACCAUAAUUAAAGCAUGGAAAUCAUAUACAAACCAUUAGAAAGAUUGUUCAAUUCAUAAGCAUUUAGAACCCUAAACCUUUGUUUCAAAACCAUUAUAAAUAUCUCAUGAACAAUACUUUAAAAUAUGUGUCUUUGCUAAAUUAACAAUGAGGAAAGAGUAACAUGGUUUAAAUAUCAAGAAAUUGAGAAAGAAAUAGACCCUUAAGACCUUAGAUUACCAACUUGAUGAAACCCUAACUUGACUUGCUUGAGGGAAUUCAGAGAGCCUUUUGAAGUGUUUGAGAAGUUACUUAGAUUGUUUUUGAGUUCUAAUGACACCCUAAAGGGGUUAUUAGACGUGGGUUUUAAUUUGGGUAAGGGCAUAUGUACAAAAUGCCCUUAAAUUAAAAGCAAGAAAAGUGUCACCCUUGACUACAGGUCAAUCAGAGACUCAUAGCCACUUCUUAAGACUCAUCACCAUGAGUCAUAACCAAAAUAGUUUAUAGGACCCCAACACACUGUUGACCCGAUAACUCACUAGUAACACUUAUAAUGAAUCCUUACGACUCGUAAGGUCCAAUCAUUACCAACACAAAACCAAAUUGAGUAAGCUUUGAAAAUCCUACGUUUGCCCCCAAAAAAUCAUAACAAGUCCUCACGGUUCAUGGUGAGCCACUAGUACUCAGAGCAGAACUUUGCCACUAAAUUUCUUAUUUUGUUGUGAUUCCAUCUUAAUGACUCGUUAUGAGUCUUUAUGACUCAUACCCUCAAGUCGUACCCAAGAUAGAAACCCUAAAACCCUUUAUUGAAAAACUACUACUAAGGUCACUUGACCCAUCAAAACAUGUUAUGACUUAUCUAAUGAGUGCAAUACCCUGAGAAUCCAAACCAAUAUUAGAACCAUUCUUCGAUCUUAAGAGAAAUGAAUUAUAGUGAUUUGGUAGUUUUAUGAGAGAGUUUGAUGUGUAUUAAGGCCUCAAAUAACUCCUAGCUAUUGGACGAAUCAAAAUAUCCCUUACCAAUUGAGUUUUUGAGAAAGAUGUUGCUAUAGUCAACUUCAAAUGAGCAUAUCUUUUGUUAUACUAAUAAUUUUCCAAAUCAAGACCCACCUAAUUGUAGAUAAUUGAGUCAUCUUUCCAAAUAUACUAAUUUUACCUUAAUCUGAUGCGUAGAUGAAAAGUUAUAGCAUUUUUUAUGUGAGGAAGUAAGCCACCAUGAUUGUACCACAUUGUGGUGAGUCGUUAAAUCACACUCGUCCCUUUUUAGUAGGUCACAAUAAUUGGACAGUGUUACAUAAGAAAUUGCGGUAGAGCAAGCACUACGUUGUAUUAGAGUGCAAAUUCACACUCGUCCUUUUUCCAGUGAUGCAACACAAUAGCACAACAUUAUGCUGGAGUGCAAAAUCUCACUCGUCCAUUUUAUAGUGAUGCAAUGCAAUAGCACCGCAUCACACCAAGGGGUAAAAAUCAGGAUUCCAGUAGCAAUUUUAAGUUUUAGAAGGGUAUUUAAGUCAAUUACCCUUCACUAAUUCAUGAAAAUGAAAUAUUUAACCUAUUCUUAGCCUAGUACUCUCAUUAUUCAGCAAAAUUUGUCUCCAAUAAAACCCUAAAGCUUCAACUUUCAAGAUUAAUUCCAAUGAAAAAUCCACCUAGAACUUUCAAGGAUUCUUCAAUUAAGGUAUGUUAAAUGUUCAUCCAUGGGCCCUUCCACCUAUGGUGCCAAAGAACCUCUUUUAAAUUUAAAAGUAUGAUCUUUACUUGUUUUUUUAUGAAUUUUGUCCAUAAGUUCUCAUGAAUUUCGAUUUAUACCAAGCUUGAUAUAAAAUUGUUCAUGUAAUUGAAUCCUAAGUGGUUGAAUGGUGUUGUUCAUUGAUUAAAUCAUAAUUAUGGAUGUUGAUAUUGAAACCAUGAUAUUACUAGAAGUUUUAAACUAUUCCAUUGCUUAGCUUAAACUACGAAUGUCAAGUGUUUGAUGAAAUGCCUACAAGAAUGAGUUUGGAAUAAAUGUUUUCACAUUAUGUCCUUAAAGUUUUAGUAUGAUCUUGCUAUCGAGUCCAGGGGGUUUAAAUACCCGAAUUUUAGAUGUUUACCUAGUUUUUAGCAUCUAAAGAAUGGUCACAAAAUAGUUACAAGUCCUAUCAUUUCAGCCAGUUACUAUAAAUAGUUAAAACUAGUCAGUCCAGAGUUCAGUCUCUUUUAGUUGGGAGUAGGAUUUAGCACCGAGCGAGUGCAGGGAUGGUGGCUUCCCUGUAAGUUAGGAAUGAGUUGUUAGUAGAAAACCCUACACUCUAGAACUACAUAGCCAGUGUAGGAUAUGGGGAGUUACCCAUCAGUUAAGACUUGACUACCUCUUAGGGGUCACCCAUCUUUAGGAUUGACACUCUUAGUCCUUCGGGAUAGCACAUUAGUGGAUCCAUACAGCCAAGUGUUAGUACUCGUGGCAAGAUACUGACACCCUUCAAACCAGGGUAACAGGUUGGACCCUAAUUUGCUCAUUGGGGUAUGUCGAUUAAAUGAUAACUCCUAUAGUUUCAGUCUAGUAUUCAGCUCAGUAAUUUAGUUUUAGAUUUACUUGACCAUAGCAUAUAGAUACCAGUUAUUCAUUUAUCAGUAUUCAGUAUUUUAGUUUAUAGACUAUAUUCAGGACAUGUUUUAUGCUUGGUCAUGUAUUCUCAGCCUUUACAGAUUUUAUGUAUUUUGCUGAGUACUUCAUGCUAUACAUUCAGUCAGUUAUUAAUCAUGCACGUGAAACCAUGUAUAUUAGCCUAACCUUAGUUAGCAUACAAGUAUAUUCAAAUUACUGAUCGUACAAUCAUUUCUUGCGCUAUGAUAUUUAAUAUCUUAUGUUUGAAUGCUUAGUUCCCUGAUCGCGUAUAGACAUACCAGAUUAUCUGUUGUAGUAGUGGUGAGUCCUCAUACUUUGAGGACAUGGUUUAUUUAUCUCAGUUUACCUUACUAGUUUAGUAUUUUACUAAUCAGUCAAAUUUAGUUGGGGGUUUAUCCCAUUAGCUACACAGUCAGUCAAUAUAGGCUUUUCAGACUAGUACAGAUAAUUAGUCAGUUAUCAUCUAUUAUUGUCAGUUUUUCCAGUCUUGAUUUUAGAUGUUUUAGAACUUAAAACCUUAUGGAAUUUUUCAGUUAACUUCUGCGCAUGUAUUUUAUUUCUAGUAUGUUAUUCAAUGCUAACAACAGGUACCAGCUCAUGGGUUAGCUUGUGGUCCCUCGGGACUGUAAGUACUGUAUGGCACCAAGGGUGUACUCUUAGGGUUUUACAAACUUGGUCUCAGAGCCUUAGGUUUUAAAGUGUCCUAGGGAGUUUGAAAGUCAUAUUAAGUAGAGUCUUGCGCAUAGGUGUGAAGUAUGCCACACUUAUGGAUAGGAGCUUACAAGGAGUUUUAAGAAAAGUCUCCUUUCUUUAUAUAUUCAUGUCAUAUGACUGAGCAUGAGCUCAUGUUAAACUCUUUGUCUAAUCUAUUCUUCCUUCCACUUACAAAAUAUGCCUCCCAGAAAGACAAGCGGAAGAAUAAAUGUAAACCAGCUAGCUCCUUCACCCAUUCAAGAAGAUCCCCUGAAUGAAUAUAUUUCUCAUGUAGAGUUCACAGCUGCAUUCACUAAUCUAGCUUACUCUGUAGCAUCUCAAAAUAUUCAGCCAGUCGUUAUUCUCACCAACCCAGUGACCAAUACUGCCGUAGCUAGGAUUCAAGACUUUACCCGAAUAAAUCCUUCUCUGUUUUUAGGAUCCAAAUCUAAAGAGGAUCUAUAAAAAUUUCUCAACAUGGACCAGAAGGUAACAGACAUUAUAGGGGUGACUUCUAGUAAGAGUGCUGAAUUGGCUACUCACCAGCUGUAGGAGCCCAUACAAAGUUUAAGUAGUGGAAAUAGGAUAGAGGCGUAGAUACAAGGACUAUAAAUAGGGAGAAGUUUGUUGCAACCUUCUUAGAUAGAUUCUUCCUAUUAAAGCUGAGGGAAGACAAAUGUUAAGAGUUUAUAAACUUGAGGCAGGGCAACAUGAGUGUGAAGGAUUCUUUCCUUAAAUUUACUAGGCUAACUAGGUAUGCUCCUCGUGUGGUGAUUGAUAACAGGUCUAGGAUGAGCAAGUUCAUGUUUAGUGUAUCUGAUAGUGUGGUUAAGGAGUGUAGGACCGCAAUAUUAAUUAAAGAGAUGGACUUAGUGAGGUUGAUGGUCCAUGCUCAAUAGAUUAAGGAGAAGAAGACUAAGGAGAGAGAGGGAGAACAAGAGGGCUAGAAUAGAUAGCUUUAAUUUCACUCAGCUAAAGUCAAAGAGUGGAAACCAUCCUCAAUUUUGCCUAAAAUCUUUAGUCCCAACUCUGUCAUCGAUAGUGCACCAAUGUCCAAAUUUAUAAAUGAUAAUAGGGAUAGAGUGCCAGGCACUAAGUCUCAGGGUAGUGUGAACAGUUCUCGGACGAAUCCUCUUUACAAGAAACAUAGUAGAACCAUCAGGGUAUUUGUAAAGCUGGCAGCGACAUAUGUUUUGGGUGUGGUAAGCCAGGCCAUAGGAUUCGGGAGUAUUGGGUGGUUUCUCGGAAGGGAAGAGAUGUGUGCCAAACUGGCCAAUCUUAUCAGUCAUCGACUCUAGUAGGUUUUCUAUCUUAGCAGGGCACAGUUUCCUAGGCUACUAGUGGUCAACGUCAGAAUAGACUUUAUGUACUUCAGACCCGAUAGGAUUAGGAAAGUUCUCCUAAUGUGGUUACUGGUAUAUUACAAGUCUUUCAUUUAUAUGUUUAAGCCUUGUUAGAUCCCGGAGCUUCUCUUUCUUUUGUAACCCAUUACAUAGCUAUCAAAUUUAAAGUUAGUCUCAAAACUUUAACAGAUCCCUUCUUAGUAUAUAUCCUAGUAGGUAAAUCUAUCAUAGCUCGGUGGGUAUACAGAAACUGCCUGGUUACAGUGUCUCAGAAAGUUACCUCAUUAGAACUGGUAGAAUUAGAGAUGACAGAUUUUAAUGUUAUUCUCGGUAUGGAUUGGCUCUAUUUGUUCUAUGCUUCAGUUGAUUAUAGAAAUAGGGUUAUCCUCGAAUAGAGGGGUAGUACCAUAGUGCUUAGGGGUCAACGUGUUUCAUAUCUUAGAGUGAGAAAAAUGAUAUCCAAGAAGUGUGUCCAUCAUCUUGUGUGAGUCAAAGACUCUCGUUCUGAGACUUCCAAUCUUGAGUCAGUUCCAAUAGAAAGGGAAUUUCCAGAUGUUUUCCCUGAAGAUCUUUCUGGAGUUCCUCCCAAAAGGGAAAUUGACUUUGGAAUAGACCUUCUUCCUGAUACUCAGCCUAUUUCCCUUUCUCCAUAUAGAAUGGCUCCAGUCGAACUCAGAGAGUUAAAGAACAAUUGAAAGAACUCCUAGACAAGGGAUUCAUUAGGCUCAGCAUUUCCCUGUAGGGCACACCAGUCCUAUUCAUGCAUAAGAAAGAUGGUUCUCUUUGAAUAUGCAUAGACUAUUGUCAUUUGAAUAAUGUUACCAUCAAGAACAAAUACCCACUUUCCAAAAUCAAUGACUUGUUCGACCAACUUCGACAUGCCAGUUAUUUUUCUAAGAUAGAUCUCAUAUCCGGCUAUCACCAGCUCAGAGUUAAAGAAUAUGAUAUUUCAAAAAUGUGAUAUUUCAAAAAUAUCUUUUUGGACCUGGUAUGGUCACCUCGAGUUUAUAGUCAUUUCCUUUGGUCUUACAAAUGCCCUAGCAGCCUUCAUAGACUUAAUGAACUGAGUUUUCAAAUAGUACUUUGACAUAUUCACCAUAGUGUUCAUUGAUGACAUUCUUGUCUACUCCCAUAACAAAAAUAAUCAUGCAGACCACCUCAGAAUAGUAUUGCAGACUCUUAGAACCCAUCAGUUGUUCACCAAAUUCAGUAAGUGUGAAUUUUGUCUAAGGUCAGUAGCUUUCCUUAGUCAUAUUAUUUUUAGUGAUGUCAUUAAAGUUGAUCCUCAAAAGACCGAAGUGGUGAGAAAUUGGCCCAGAUUCAUUUCUUCAUCAGAUAUCAGGAGUUUUGGGCUUCGUUGGCUAUUAUCUAUGGUUUGUUGAAGGGUUUAAAUCUAUUUUAUCCCCUAUCUCCAGAUUGACUCAAAAGAAAGUUAACUUUUAGUGGUCAAAUUCUUAUGAAAAGAGUUUUUAGGAGUUGAGAACUUGACUCACCACAACCCUAGAUUUGAUGUUACCAGAUGGUUCAGAUGGGUUUGCUAUGUACUGUGAUGCUUCCAGAGUUAGUUUGGGGUGUGUUUUAAUGCAGAAGGGUAAAGUUAUGGCCUAUGCCUCUAGACAACUUAAGCCCCAUGAAAAGAACUACCCUGCCCAUGAUCUUAAGCUAGCUGCUGUUGUGUUUGCAUUAAAAAUCUAGAGGCACUAUCUUUAUGGGGUGUAUGUUGAUAUGUUCACGAACGACCAAAGCUUGUAGUAUGUGUUUUCAUAAAAGGAUUUGAAUUUACAUCAGAGGAGAUGGUUAGAAUAUUGAAAGAUUAUGACAUAAGUGUUACAUAUUAUGUGGUCAAGGCCAAUGUAGUAGUAGAUGCCCUUAUUAGACUGUCUAUGGGUAGUGUUACUCACGUUGAGAAUGAUAAGAAAGACUUAGUUCAGGAAGUUCAUCAUUUGUCUAGAUCAGGCAUUCAUUUGGUUGAUUCAGCUAAGGGUAGUGUAUGGGUUCAAAAUAGUUUAGAAACUUCUUUGGUUUUCAAAGUGAAAAAAAAUCAAGAUAGGGAUCCCAGUCUGGUGAAGCUGAAGGAGUCAGUCAGAGAUCAAAAAGUAUAGGUUUUCUCCAAAGGAAGAGAUGGUGUGUUAUGUUACCAAGGUAGGCUAUGUGUGUUGGGGGUUGAUAAGUUGAGACAGUGAGUUCUUGUAGAAGCACAUGGUUUGUGUUACUCUAUUCAUCCAAGGGCCACGAAGAUGUACCACAAUCUGUAAGAAAUCUAUUAGUGGAGUGGUAUGAAGAGGGAUAUUGUAGAGUUUGUAGCUAAGUGCUCCACUUAUCAACGGGUUAAGAUUUAACAUCAAAAGCCCAGUUGGUCUAUGCAGGAGUUCAGUAUUACCACUUGGAAGUGGAAGGAAGUGAACAUGGAUUUUGUUACAGGUUUGCCUCAUACUUGUCGUCAGCAUGAUUAUAUUUGGGUCCUUAUGGAUAGGAUGACAAAAUCUGCCCAUUUCUUACCAGUCCAUACUUUUUAUUUAGCCGAGGACUAUACCAUGAUUUAUAUUAGAGAGUUGGUUAGGUUGCACGGUGUUCCGUUAUAUAUCAUCUCAAAUAGAGGUACUCAGUUUACCUCUUAUUUUUGUAAAGCUUUCUAGAAGGGUUUUGGUACCCAAUUUCUCCCAUGAAGGGUUAAAUAAGUUUGGUAAGAAGGGGAACUUUGUAACCUCGGUUGUGUAGAAUAACCUUCAUAAAAUAAGGCACCCACGGACUAUAUGGGUCCAGCUCUCCCAUAGCUGGAUGGGCCCUAGUGCGUGUAGUUGUACGAACUAAAGAAUAUCCAUAUCUGUAUAUGCCAUCUUUGGGUACUCGAACCUCCUAUCAUAAUCAAGGUAACUUAGCACCAAUAUAUACAAUAUGGGUGACUCAAACCUCCCAUUCAUAUAUUUAUUUAGGGGACUCGAACGUUUCUAUCAUUUAGACACCCAUGUCGGCUAAUGCGGUUUCCAGCAUUAGUCCUUCGAACUCCAAUUUCAUGGACGGACUACACAGCCCGCUUUAAAUCAUAUUUAAAACAUUCUUUACACAUACACAUAACCAUUAUUCCAAUUACUUACCAAAGGCAUCCGUUGGUAUCGUCAUACCAACCUCACUUGCAAGUGUAUAAUAUGCCAUAGCCAUUAUCAUUCGACUUUGGGACUCAAACCCAUUGUCUAUACAUAGUCACCAAUUCAAUUUGACAUUUAGGGACUCAAACCCAUUUAGCCAAUUGCACCACUAAGGUUACAAUUUAAAACCAUUUAUGACCCACAGGGUCUUCAUGAAAGCAUUUACACCAUUGGGCCAAUGUCUUAGUUCAAAUCACAAUUCAAUUCAAUUUAUGGCCAUCAAGACCUUUACAAAACCAUUCAUCCUUCACUAACAUUCUUAUUCCAAGAAUUAUCUCAAAACACAACUCAUCAUGUGACAAAAUUCUUGUCAUAGAUAUUUUCACAAACAGGUUACGGCAUACCAUUAUCAAACCAUUAUUUAAGUCAAAAAGCAUCAUGUUAAGCUUAACCAUGACCCAUUUAGUAAACCACAAUUUCCAUGAACCCACAUGUCCAAAACAUUCAUAAAAAUAUGUAUAAACACAAGUGAAAUCAUGAGAGAACAAUACUCAACAAUAUGUAUUCAAACCCACAAUCAUGGACUUCAAAACCACUAAUUAUGAUUCAAGAACAAUAUUUAAAACAUAUGAUUUUAUGAACUAACAAUGAGGAAGGAGUCACAUGCCUAAAUUAUGAAGUUUCACAGAGAGAUUUCGAUUCUUAGUCCUCUAGAUGACCACCUUGAGGAAACCCUAGCCCAAAUAUCCUAGGGAGAUUUCUAGAGAGUUUUUUAGAGUGUUUAGAUCUUCCAAAGUGAAGAUUAAGGGAAAAAAUAGUGUAAUAAGAUGUGGGUUAUUAAGAGCUUAGGGUGGGAAAUGUCUAAAAUACCUUUAUCUUAAAAGCUGUAAAAGACUCGCAGGAGGGUACGGUUGGACCCCCUUACUCGCACCCACAUCAUACUAGUGGUACCUCCCACUCGUACAUUGAUCAGAAAGUUGGACAUCAUAUUCUGUCCAAUAUACGACUCCAUAGACUAAUGUGUACCCUAACCAUAUGACUAGUACCCUUUAAGUCGUACCCUAAGCAGCAUGUCAAGAUUAAACAUUGAAUAAGAUAUCGUUUGGACCAUACUACUUGUAUCAUGUACAUACGACUUAUAUGGAAUCUUCUCGUACCAAGAAUGGAACUUAUCCAAUAUGACACUGACCAACAUACGACUAGGGUCCUUGACCCAUAGCCAUAUCAAACGACUAGUAUGGUGAGUCAUAUGAUGCAUAGAUGGUUCAAGACUCGGGAAAUUUUUGCAAGGUAGGUCCAAAGUUUGGGGUGUUUCAAUCGGGGUCUGUCCCAAUUUGUUAUUAGUAGUUUAGUGUGUUAAACUUUCUAGAGGAUUUAUGGAUAGUAUGCAGUGUUGUAUUGUAUAGUAUUUGUUCAUGUAACCCCCUCGUGAGUAUAUACAGCUCAUACUAGAUAUAUUAUUUGUUAUUAUUUUAUAAUCUUGGCAAAAUGGUUCGAUGGACCCUUGUACUGUGUCCGUUUUGUAAUGUGGACACUUCUACUUACAUGUUUUUCAUCUGGACCCUUGAACCCACUAAAAAGCAAUAUUUCAAACCAUUUGACCGUUGACCAUGCCUAUGUGGCAUUAAAAGUACUGACUAGGAUAAGGCCUGUGUAGGCACGCACCUAGGGUGCGAGUGGGCAUCAAUUUUUUUAUCAAUUUUAUAUUAAAAUAGUUUUAAAAAAUAAAAAUAAUAUUAAAAUUAAAAAAGGUCCUUUUUUCCUACCAUUUUUUUAAAAUUAAAUAUAUUUUUAAAAUUUAAAAAUAAUAAAUUUAAAAAAAUAAAUAAAACCCCCCUCCCCAACCCCCCUACCCGUCUAGCCCACUCCACCCUUCACCCUCAUCCAGCCCCCUCCCCCUACCAAGCCACCACCCCACCCCUCACCCCUGUCCAGCCCCUCUCUCCCCUCCUCCUCUUUCGUUCAGCCACCCCUAUGAUGUUCUAGUUUUUGAUAGAAUAUUUUACAUUUUUUUCAAAGGAUAAUUAUAUGUUUUCAAGAAACUAAUGUUGUAUUUAAUACUGGAUUUUAGUGUUUUUAGGUUAAGGAGCCAGAUGAAGGGAAGACUUGGAAAAUGCAGAAAAAGGCCACUUACGGUCAAACUGGAGGAUCGUUAGCCAUGUGAUGAACCGCCAGGGUGGUUGCCAGAGUAAAAUAGAAGGGAGUAGUUGAGUUGUCUCAUUAACGGUCCAAGUGGAGGACAGUCAACCAUUCGACGCACUGUUAACUUGUCCGUCAGGGCAAAACAGAACAUGGCAUCUUGGAGGAUCAAGUGACGGCCCAUGCGAUGGAUCGCCAGGACAGCGACGGUUCACUAACAUAACCGUUAACCCUUAAUAGAACCUGACAUUCUGGAACCAUCAGUGAUGGUCCACGCAAUAGAUCGUUAGGCUUUCAACGAGCCACCAGCCUGACUGCCAACUUGGA